rnacentral:lncRNA from 1 species
UAAAAAUUGACGUGCAUGCGGCCAUCACAGACACUGUUUAUGAAAGUGAACAAUACUACACUGUUUAAGAAACUUAACGGUACUACACUAGUUAUGAAAUUGAACGGUACUAUACUAUUUAUGAAACUGAACACUAUUUAUGAAACUGACCGAUACUACACUAUUUAUGAAACUAAACAGUAUUACAUUAUUUAUUGGUCCAGAUUCAUAAAUAGUGCAUAGUUCUUGGUUCACUUUCAUAAAUAGUGCCUAGUUAUCGGGUUCUAUUUCAAAAAUAGUAUAUAGUAGUUGGUAUAGUUUCUUAAAUAGUGUCUCAUUCUUGAUCCAAUUUCAUAAAUAGUGUCUAGUUCUUGGUCCACUUUCAUGUAUAGUUCCUAGUUCUUGGUCCACUUUCAUAUAUAGUGUAUAGAUCUUGGUCAUGCUUCAUAAAUAGUGUCUAGUUAUUGGUCCAGUUUCAUAAAUAAUGUAUAGUAAUUGGUACAGUUUCAUAAAUAAUGUAUCUUUCUUGGUCUAGUUUUAUAAAUAAUCUCUUGAUCUUUUUUUUUUUUUGUUUAGUUUUAGAAAUAGUACCUUCUCCGGUUUCUCUGCAUCCCUUGAGCAACAAUCACCUUCAUGAUGGUGAUGAUGCCUAUGACGCUCUUUAUGAGAUACUCAGUUGUUCCUCUCUUCUUUUCCACUUUCUCAUCAUGAGAUACCCAAAUCAAACCUAACCCUUGCUACAGCUUUGUAAUUCACAUAGAAAUCAAUCUCAACCCAACAACCAUCACAGCUUCUUGGUCGGUAUCAACAGUACAACUCCUGCUCACUGGAGAAUUGAAUUUUCUCUGAAUCUCUUCAAUUUCUUAGCUUUCUACACCACACUUAAUUUUCUUCCAUCAUCACUUUACAAAACAAGAACUAAAAAAUGUACCAUAUGAUAUGACUGACUUGCUCAGUCACUAUAUGCUUUUUGCGUUCGUUUUCAAACUGGCUGUAAUUUCCUUUCUCCUUGAAUAGGUGGAUGUUGUGGUGUUUGUAGUAGUCCUUGAAUAGUUGGAGUUGGACGUUGUGGUGUUAGGAUCAGCAAUCAAUAUAAAAAGCUAAAAAUUAAUCUUUAUAAUCAAGGUUUUUAUCACAUGUAGUCCCUUAAAUUGACCCAUACGAUAAAAAUAGUCCCUGAAAAUAAAACUCGAUAAAUGUAGUCCUUGAAUAUGGGUAGCAAAUCAAGUUGGUCACUCCAUUAGAGCAACUCCAGCGUGAGGAAGGCCCCCUAGGGCAACUUACUAUUGAAUCCCCCCAGUGAACAGUAACUACCUUUUACAUCUCCACCCCUAAACUGAACAGCCAUGGCAAUAGGCAAUAAAAUAUCUGUAUUUUUUAUUUUAUAAAAUAAUAAAAAAUAAUUUUUUUUUGUAAUUUCUAAUAGGAUUUUAAUCGGUCUCAUUGUACCACGUGUCAUUAAAUAAGAAAUUACAACUCAAAGUAUUUGAGAAAAUAUAAAAUUAUGGUGUAAGUUGGAAGAUACUAAUAACAUAUUUAUAGAAAAAUUAAAUCAAAUUUUUUUAAAUUUAAAAAAAAAAUUCGGAUUUUUUAUUAAUUUUUUACAUUUUUAAAAUUAAUUUUUUACUUUUUUUAAUUAAUUUUUUUACAUUUUUUAAUUAAUUAUUUACAUUAUUUUAAUUAAUUUUUUACUUUUUUAUUAAUUUUAUAACGUGGUUGACGUUAGCCUUGCAUCAGCUGGCUUUUAGGCUCUCGAGCUGUGGAUUCCCGCCUGGCCUGUCCACUGGGCCUCCCCCGAGCCCAAUCGCCCGCAUAGGCUGGAGCAAGGGAGGGAGGCUAUUGGGUUUUUUGGGUUGCCUAUCCACUGGGCUAUAGCCUUCGGUGGAGUUGCUCUUACUAUUCUGUCAAAAUUUUCUGUUAAUGUGUUAAUGUAGUACACAUAUAGGUCCCACAUGUUCAUUAAGUACUGCCACGUAGGGUGGAAUUUUUUGCCAAAUUGCCAUACCAACCGUACUAUACCAAAGUUGUGCCAAAAAAUUUGUACCAUUGGUAAUGGUACGAUAUUUGUACCGUACCAUACAUGUUCGGUACGGUAAUGGUAUUCAAAACUAUUACCAGUGGUAUACUGUACCGUACCACUACUAUUAAUAUUAUAUCAUUUAUUUAUUCAUUUAUAUAUAUAAUUAGGUAUUAUUAUCAUUAUAUAUGCACUUUAUAUUUUUUUCCUAGUCAUGUAUCCAAUCAUCUCACUCUCUAACCUCUACUUUCCCAAUAAAAAACACCUAAGCUUGCGCUGCAACUCUUCAUCUUUUCACUCAUCUAGCCAUCGGCUUCAUCUCUGUUGCUCCCAUUCCAGCGACUCUCUCUCUCUCUCUUCGUAGUCCAUCUCAUCUUCUCCUUCAUCAAAUUGGGAUGUCUUUCUCCUUGGUUUUGUCUAACAAGUUAAUUUUUGCACAAUUUUAAAGAAUGUAGAGAUGGAAUUUAGGAAUCUUUGUACUAUUUUUUUAGGAAUGUUGGGUUCUUUCAACAAUUCUUCCAUCUAAUUACUUUUUGUUUCUUAAAUGAAUCUCUAUAAAAUUCUCAUAAUUAUAUAAAAAAGUUUUAGAAAGCCAAAGAGAGUGACCAAAACACGUUUGGGCCUUGAAUUGAGUUGAAAAAAAAAAUCAAAUUUUGGCCCAAAAUAAAAUAGUAAUUAUCAUUACCAUACCAUUCCAUCUGAACUAUUUGACAUGCCGAAAUUUGGUAUACCAAAAGUUUGGCACGAUAAUGGUAAUAGAUUUUGGCAUACCAAAAACUUGGUAUGGUAAUUGGUACAUGGGCUUUGGUACCAAUACCACCCCUCCUACCACGUACACUGAAAAAUAAAAAAAUUAACUAUAAAAAUGAUAACAAUACAUAAAAAAAAUUAACAAUAAUUAUGUGGGAGGAUAAAAUCCGGUUUCGACUCAUGGGCCAAUACCAAUCAUCCUAAGGAGAAAGUGUUGUGCAAGGUAAAAAGCUCACAAGAAAUAUACGGAUGCAAGGGAACGUGCCUAGAUAACUACCCCACUACGAAGGAGAAGUGGGAAAGGGCGACAGGUCGUGGCACUUAUUCCCAAAGCAUGCAGUCAUAUGACGGAUGACCACUAAGGAAGUCGGAAAGGAGGACUGGUCGUGGUGCUUGAUCCUCAAGCAUGCAAUCCUAUAAAUAGGGAGAUGAGCCAAAGAACAAGAGACGUGAAGGGAACCCGAGAGAAUCCUAAGAAUAGAAACCAAUCAACUGACUUGAGGGUCGGAGUAUCUUUUGCAGGUACCCACCCAGGCAAGCUGCGGAGGAAGAUUAUUUUGGGACACCUCGAAGAACGAUUCGGCAAACGUGAUGAUUGCUGUCCACAAGUCUGUGGAGGUAUUUCUUCUCGUAGAAAAUCUCGCUCCAACAAAUUAUAACAUGAAAAAAAAAAAGAAUAAAGACAUGAUUGAUUCGAUUGCGGAACCAUCAUGAUAAUCAGGACAUGGGCCUCUUUGCAAAGUUUCUUGUUCUUGCUAUGUUUUUUUUUUUGUUUUUGGUUUUUUUUCUCCUCUCUUGUUCUUGCUAUUAAACAAAGUUAGUAGAUGAGUUUUUUUUUUUGUUAAAAUCUAAAGUUUUAAAGUCAUUUACAUUAGUUUUUCUAAAUAAAUAACCCUGCUCCUGGUGAGCAAAUAAAAGUUAAAAUAAAUAGAAGGAACUUUAGAAACGGGGUGGAAAAAUAAAUUCUUCUUAUAAAUAAAAAUCUUUGAAUUCUUUAAAAGGCUAAAUAAAUAAAGGCAUAAAAUUUCUAUUCUUUCAUCUAUCUCAUCCCAUCUACCAUUUCGAUUGUUUAGUUCGUAAACCUGUACAACAAUAGAGGGAUGAGCUUCAAUAGCUCAGUGGGGACAUAAUCUUAUCACAUUUGAUAACAAUAUUAAAUUAAGUGUCAUAGCAUCGUAUAAUCAAGUAUCAAGUCAUCAUUAAUAACAUCUUCGUCUAUACCUGCUAAUCUGUAAAAGUCUACUGUGUUUCCUCUACCUAGACUUCAAGCUUAGCUUUUACUUUCUCACCAUGUCCAAACGUUGUACACCAAACUCUUGAGCAAUUGUUUCAAAAAAAAAAAAACUCUUGAGCUGAUUUCAAGGCUUUGAUUUUUUUCCCUUUGAGUCAGAACUGAUUUCAUUCUAAUUUUUUUAUGUUUCUCUAACUCUUAUGCAUGAGUGCUAGCAUUUUAGAAUCGGAACUAACAGUUAGAGACUGAGACAUCCAAAGAUACUAACUUGAUUUUUCAAGGCCUUCUGUUUAGCUCUGUUGUUCUCGUCUCCUCCUCUGUUGAGACUGAGACAUCCAAAGAUAAUAAGAAAGGUUAAUUAAUUAUUAAUUAGUGCAUGCAGUUUUCUUUAUGUAUGCUAGCUAGUUAAAUAUUAGUUUACGCUUUGGUAGAUAAGGCCAUUUCCAACCGAAUGCUGACCAGAUGACUCGUUUUAGCCAUCUGGCCAUCCAAGAAAUUAAUAUUUUAAUGAACAGUACAUGGCCAUAUUUGUCUCCAUCUCCAACCGAGAGCCAAAGGGCCAUAUGACUCGUUUUAGCCCUAUCACAAAAAACCGUCUCCAACUAAGGAUCAAAGGGUCAUAGGGCCAAACAUAAUUUAUUAUUUAAAAACUAUAACUUAAAUUCAAAUCCAACGGCUAAGUGACGUCAGCUAGCCGUUGGAUUUGAAUUUUUUUUUUGCUAUAAAUGGGAUAGAUGUUGGGUUAUAAUUCACACAACUUUGAAUUCAAUCUAUUUCAAUUCAAAUUUGCAAUGAAUUCCAACUUUGGAUCCUCUUCGGAUUCUAACUGGGGGUCCUCAUCCAAUUCCAAAUUGGAAGAAAAAUGGGCGCAAAUGAGACGAGAAAAUAAGAAGUCUGAUGAAGAAGUUCAAGUAAGGCGCAACAAACAAAACAGAGCAGCAGCCAUGGCUGCGGCCAUGGUGUGUCAGCCAACUGAGGAACAACUUCAAUGGGGUGGUUUUGUUGCUGGUCGCUCUUACAAACCACGAAACAGAGCAAUGAAGCAUGCUAAUCUGAUGAACAACUACUUCAACCCCAACUCAGUGUACACAGAAGAGGAUUUCAGACGUCGCUUCCGGAUGAGGCAUCAUGACUUCGAGCAUAUACUUCGUGAUGUCUAGCAGGUCAAUCCAUACUUUCGACAGAAGCGGGACUAAGGACGCCCUGGUUUCUCACCUCAUCAAAAGAUUACUGUUGCACUUUGAAUGAUGGCAUAUGGCUCCCCAGCUGAUUCGAUGGAUGAAACCCAUGGCAUGUCUGAGUCUACAUGCCUUGAUACUCUUGAACAAUUAUGUAACACAAUUGUUCAUGUUUACAAAGACGAGUACCUCCGUAAGCCAAAUCAAGAAGAUCUGAAUCGGCUUAUUCGCAAAGAUGAAGACCGUGGGUUUCCGAUCAUGAUAGGGUCAUUAGACUGCAUGCAUUGGGAUUGGAAAAAUUGUCCCACCGGAUGGCAAUGAGGCUUAUGCGGAAGGUCGAGAAAGCCAACUGUUGUGUUAGAGGAGUUUGCCUCAUAUGACACAUGGAUCUGGCAUGCUUUAUUUGGAGUCCUUGGAUCCCAAAAUGACAUUACAGUUCUUGAGCGUUCACCCAUCUUCAAUUGCCUGAAUGAAGGUAAAACACCUCAACUUGACUACUCCAUCAAUGACCGUCAAUAAAAUAUGGGGUAUCACUUGGCAGAUGGCAUCUACCCAAAGUGGGCGACAUUUGUCCAAGCAAUUCCAAACCCUAAGAAUGACGCGGAAAAUUUGUUUACCUUACACCAAGAGGCAUACCGGAAAGAUGUUGAGAGAGCUUUCAGUAUUCUAUAAACACGGUGGAAGAUCAUCAGCGAACUGGCAAGAUGGUGGAGUCAAGAAAAUUUGGACUCCAUCAUGAUGUCUUGCAUCAUAUUACACAAUAUGAUAGUGGAUAAUGAGCAAGAUGGGUAUAUUGAUGGAAAGUCCGAUGAUGACAAAGAAGAUCCAAAUAGGUCAAGAAGGGCUCGUGCAAAAAUAUAUGAUGGGCCAAAUUUGCCUUUCAAUCCAAGAACUGGUAGUAUCUCUAUAAAUGAGUACAUGAGGCGCUAUAGAAUGAUACGUUCUCGCACCACAAACAAGUACCUACAACAGGAUCUUGUUGCACAUCUUUGGGCCAAAAAUAGCUUGGAGUAGGCGUUUAAGUUUUAUGUUGUAUAAUUUUUAUGUUGGUUAAUGUUAUUUAAUGUUGUUUCAUAUUGUUUAAUGUUGUUUCAUGUUACUUAAUUUAAUUUAAUGUUGUAUAAUGGCUUAGGAAGUUAUAGGAAAAAAAUAGAAUUUAAAAAAUAUAUGAAACAAAUUUUGUAAAAUAGAAGUUAUAGGAAAAAAAAUAGAAUUUAAAAAAAAUAUGAAACCAAUUUUGUAAAAUAGAAGUUAUAGGAAAACAAUAUAAAACAAAUUUUGUAAAAUAGAAGUUAUAGAACAAAAAUAGAAGUUAUAGGAAAAAAAUUGUGUAAAAUAAAAUAAAAUUGUAAAAAAAUAAAAUAAAAUAACGGCUAGCUGACGUCAGCUAGCCGUUGCAUUUGAAAUUUGGCUUAGAAUUCCUGUCGGAUAUAACCGAGAGGAAUGCUAGAUUUAAUGACUGGCUGGCUGGAUUGGGUCAGCCGGUUGGCCCUUUGGCCUUUUCAGAUUUCAUGGGGCCCACGAGCCCUCUGGCCUAGCAGUUGGUUAGAGAAGGUUUUCGGGCUAUUUUCGACCUUCUGGCCCUCUGGACCCUUAGGUUGGAGAUGGCCUAAGGUCUUUUUUUUUUUUCUACCCACUAUGUGUCUCAAUUUUAAACAAUUGCGCAUCAUCAAUAUAGUUACACUUUUACACAUUCGACGUACCUAUGCACCCAUUACAUAUGUACAAUCGACCAAACCACAUGUAUGUACUCGAUUAUUAAAUUUGUCAUAGAGUACAAGAAUUUGAAUUUGCUUUCACUAAGUUCGUCAUAGUGUCACAAUUCGUAAUUAAUAUUGAUAAAUUAUCAACGUCAUUAAUAUUUUCUACUAUCUAAAAUGAUUUGGUUGUCUCCAUAAUUUUUUAACCGUGCACCCUUUUAAAUCCGCCCCUCCCCUCACCAAUUCCUGGCGUCAUAGUGUCACUGAAAUGUGGUGUGUUGUGGAAGAUGAUGGCUGGGUAUUUAUAAGAAAAAUUAUAAUUCUUUAUAUUUUUCUGAUUUUUUUAAAAAUAAUUUAUCUCAAACUUAAUUAAUAUGGACUGUUGGAUUACAUUUUUUUUUUGCAAUCCAACAACCCUGGUUUUGUCACAUCACCAAAUGGUAACUUUAAUUUUUUUUCUAGAUUUUUUUAUUUUAUUUUAUAAGUUGUAAGACCAUGACUAUUCAUUACAAACCUAACAUCCUAGAUUUGAACAUGUGGCCCAGCUGUUUCAAUUUUUUUUACUGUUGGGAAUCCUACGGCCCAGAAAUAUAGUAGUUGGAAAUCCAACGGUUGAGAAAAACCCGCAUCACCCCCUUUUAGAAGAGUCCGAGUGUGCUUGCAAGUGGGCCCCGCCACCUGCCUUUGGUCAGCUCACUCGCCAUGUUUCGUGGGUUAAAAUCAUGGGCCUGAAGCAAAAAAAAAUUAAUAACGUGGAUGAUGUUACAUAUCAUCGUAUAAUCAAGUAUCAAGUCAUCAUUAAGGGAAAUGGGUCCUCUCCGGAUCCCUUCGUCAUAAUCCACCAAGCCCGAGAAUCCGGGCAUUGAAAUUUGAUCCAACUGGUAAAGUUAUUAUAACUUUUAAAGUGGGCCCCUUUUUGUAGCCGUUGGAUCAAAUUUCAAUGACCCGGAUCCCCGACCUUGGUGGAUUGGGAGGAAGGGAUUCAGAGAGUAUCCCUUUCCAUCAUUAAUAACAAGGUAGAGUGCAGUGCAAAAUCUUUGUCUAUACCCGUUAAUCCAUAAAAGUCUACCAUAUUUCCCCUACCUAGAUUCCGACCUUAGCUUUUACUUUCUCACCAUGUCCAAAAGUUGUGCACCAAACUCUUGAGCAAUUUAUAGGUUAGCACCUUACGUGCUCUAAUUCCCCACUUUGUUCCUUUUCUUUGUGUAGAGUCCAGCAUAUGGCACUUAAAACAUGUGGCAAGGCAAGUGCAUCUCAAGUGUUCUCGAGGUGGCUGGCAAAUUGAUCACUCUUGGCUAAUUCCAACACUUGUGGCUGCCAUGUGUCAUUGACACAUUGGUCCAACAUGAAAAUACCUUAAAAAUUCAUUCAAGUUCCGAAAGGUACUCUAAACUCGUAAUGACAUCCACAAUCUUUCCAUGAAUACAUUCUCAAUAAAUAAUCUAAACAUAUUUUUCCAAAUAUUUCUCUUAUUUGAUAAUAAAUUCUUGAGAUCUCACAAUCCAUCCUCCUUAAAAUAAAUAUCGUCCCACGAGGUUUACAUUAACACUCGAUUACUUGACAAGUCCAGAGUUUUCACCUUUGAUCAGACUCUAAUUUUCAUGUCAAUCCAUUGUUGCAUGUACAGUAAGUAUUCAUAUAAUUCUCCAAGUUGAGUUUGAAAUCUUAAGUGAUUGAUUACGCGUAUUUAUAUCUAGUACUUAGUCCAACACACAUAAAUCCCAAGAAAAUUGUGGGUACCUUUGCACAUUUUUCUUAGUAUGAUGUCUUUCGUAUUCCACUAAUUCUUAUUCCAUAAACCAUGAACAUUCCACCAUCGAGUAUCAAAGAUCCAAUGGCUAGUCAGUCCCUUAACUGUAGUGAAUGACAAUAAUUACAUGAAGGGGUGUGAUAUCCACAUACCCCUUUUUAAUUCUCCCACACCUUUUUGGUUUUCGACCGUCGGAUCGGAUGAAUUGAAGAAUAUCACCAGACAAAAAUUAACAAAGGGUGUGUGAGAAGUAAAAAGGGGCGUGUAGAUAGCACACCCCUUGCAUGAAUAAGAAAAGAAACAAAUUUCGGAUACUUUUUAGUCAUUACAAUACAAGUAAAAUCUACUAAGUAGUGAACUAUUUAACAAAUGUAGGUGGAUAUCUAAAUGUCAGAUACCUGUUCCCCAAGGGCGAAGCUACAUAGGGGCAGGGAGGGGCGGUCGCCCGUCCCCUAGCCUGAAAUCAAGGCCAGGAGCGGUGAUUCCGCCCCUUUGGUCCCGUCGGAAGUGAGCAACCGUUUGGUUCUCUGGUUUUUGGUGCUCUGCAGCAGAGCCAAAUGAUGCUGUGUUUCUGUUUUCAAUUUUCAAACCCAGGCCAAACGACGUUGUUUGGGACCUGGGCAAAGAAAUUUAUUUUUAAGUAGAACGGUGCGUUUAGGUUCUAUUAAAAAACUGAUAGCAUGAGACCAUGCUUUAUGAGAAAUUUUAUUUAAACUCAUAUAACAUAUUUUUACACCCAACUUACUCUUUGCACCAUUUGAUUUUUAACUAAACUAUUAAGAUCUCUUUAAACCCAAAUUUGAUACCUAAUAUACCCCCAUAAACCCAAUUCAAUAUGUGAAUUUAUUUUUACACCCAUUUGAUUUUUAGAAGCUAAAUUUGAUGUGUUUAGACCUAAGUUCUUUGCAUGGUUUUCCACAACACAAAAGCUGAUAAUUCAAUUGUUGAAAGAUGUCAAGAAAGGCAGUGAAAGGAUAAAGUGGAUGGACAGAGAACCUUAUGCAUACUGGAAAGGGAACCCUUUUGUUGUUGAUACGAGGAAAGACUUAACUCAAAAAUGCAAUGUCUCAGAGACACAAGACUGGAAUGCUCGCCUAUUCAUCCAGGUACCGUUAAAGAUAAAAACUAAUUUCGUUUAAACCAAUGGCAUAUGUUAUCAACAACAUUAACUUUUGAUUGAAAACCCAAUUAGCCAAUAAAUCUACAAACUAAUUAGGUAUAAUUUCAGGAUUGGAUUCUUGAAUCUCAACAAGGCUUCAAGCAAUCAAAUGUAGCAGACCAAUGCACACACAUGUAUUUCUUGUAGACAUAUAAAUAAAAUUCUCUUAUUUGGUAAUUAAAUUUCACUUUAAUUGUCAUUCCGUUUUAUCAUGAUUUAUGCAGGUACAAGAUCUAUAUUGAGGGUUAUGCAUGGUCUGUGAGCAAGAAGUACAUUCUAGCAUGUGAUUCAGUAACAUUGCUGGUAAAACCGAAGUACUAUGAUUUCUUCACAAGAGGUUUGCAACCAGUGCACCAUUACUGCCCUAGAAGGCAUGAAAACAAAUGUAGAUCCAUUAAGUUUGCUGUGGAUUGGGGCAACAACCACAAACAAAAGGUGACUCCUCUUUCUAAUUAACUUUCCAUUUUUUCGUAAUUUAUGGUAUUGUCCUUUUUAAACUCUGAGCAGAGCUAUUUGUGCCACAUUUAUAGAGGUGCGGUCAACAAUGUGAUCCCCCUAGCAUUACUCUGGAAGUUUAUACUCUACGGUUUUUGUUACUUACGGAUUUUGGAACAGGCACAAGCAAUUGGAAAAGCAGCAAGCGACUUCAUUCAGGAGGAGCUAAAGAUGGACUAUGUGUAUGACUUCAUGUUUCAUUUGUUCAAUGAAUAUGCUAAACUCUUAAGAUUUGAGCCACGAAUAUCCAAAGGCGCUACACAUUUGUGCUCGGAGAGUAUGGCUUGUCCUGCAGAUGAGUCGCCUAAGAAGUCUAUGACCGAAUCAUUGGUUAAGAGUCCAUCACCAAUAGACCCUUGCACCAUGCCUCCUCCCUAUGAACCCCGAGCUCUUGCAAAGUUGUACAGGAGGAAUAUUAAUCAAUUACACAAGUGCAACAGUGGGAAGAUAAAUUUGAUCGUAGGGUUUAAUUAUAAUGUUUGGGUUUAUUGUUAAAUUUAAGUUUUAUUAUUAAUUUCAUUUUGUACUUAAUAUUAAUUAUGCAAUAGGGUAACAUAGACAAUUAACAAUUACAAUUUUAAGUUGGGUGUAAAAAGAGAUUGAAUGGGUUUAAAUAAAAUUUCCCAUGCUUUAUUUGUCGUUUAGUAGCAUGUGAUCGUCGGAGACUUAUCAUUAACAAUUAAGAUCCUUCUAGUCUUCUUUCUCGUGGGAUUUUUUAAAGAUUUCAAGGCCAAAACUUUCCUAAUAAUUUCGAUAUGGAAUAGGAGCUGAUUUCAAGGCUUUGAUUUUUCCUUUUGAGUCGGAAUUGAUUUCAUUCUAAAUUUUUUUUAUGAUUGUCUAUCUCUUAUGCAUGAGUGCUAGCAUUUAGAAUUGGAACUGACAGUUAGCACAAGAGUUAGAGAAUUAUGAAAGGUUUCAAAGCUUUAAUUUUUCAAGGUCUUCUGUUUGGCUCUAUUGUUCUCGUCUCCUCCUCUGUUGAAACUGAGACAUCCCAAGAUAAUAAGAAAGGUUAAUUAAUUAUUAAUUAGUGCAUGCAGUCUUUUUUUCUUUAUAUAUGCUAGCUAGUUAAAUAUUAGUCUACGCUGUGGUAGAUAAGGUCCUUUUUUUUCAACCCACUAUGUGUCUCAAUUUUAAACAAUUGCGCAUUAUCAAUAUGGUUACACUUUUACACAUUCGACAUACCUAUGCACCCAUUACACAGUCGACCAAACCACAUGUAUGUACUUGAUUAUUAAGUUCGUCAUAGAGUACAAGAAUUUGAAUUUGUUUUCACUAAGUUCGUCAUAGUGUCACAGUUUGUAAUUAAUAUUGAUAAACUAUGAACGUCAUUAAUAUUUUCUACUAUCUAAAAUGAUUUGGUUGUCUCCAUAAUUUUUUAACCUUGCACCCUUUUAAAUCCGCCCUUCCCUUCGCCAAUUCUUGGCGUCAUAGUGUCACUAAAAUGUGGUGUGCUGUGGAAGAUGAUGGUUGGGUAUUUAUAAGAAAAAAAUAUAUAAUUCUUUAUAUUUUUCUGAAUUUUUUAAAAAUAAUUUAUCUCAAACUUAAUUAAUAUGGACCUUUGGAUUACGUUUUUUUUUUUGCAAUCCAACAACCCUGAUUUUGUCACAUCACCCAACAGUAACUUUAAUUUUUUUUUCCAGAUUUUUUAUUUUAUUUAUAAGUUGGAAGACCAGGACCGUUCAUUAGAGCAACUCCAGCAUUGCAAAGGCCCCUAGGGCUACUCACUAUUGAAUCCACCUAGUGAACAAUAACUGCAUUUUGCAUCUCCACCCCUAAACUGAAUAGCCAUGACAAUAGGUAAUAAAAUAUUAGUAUUUUUUAUUUUAUAAAAUAAUACAAAAUAAUUUUAUUUGUAAUUUUGAAUAAGAUUUUUAAUCAUUCUCGUUGCGUCACGUGUUAUUAUCCGAAAAGACAAUUAUUGGUGAUAGAUUUCGAUAAGAUUUUUAUCCAAUGCCGUCGUGCCACGUCGCGCCACAUGUCAUAAUUUGUUUACAAUCUUUAACCAAUCACGUCGCGCCACAUGUCAUAAUCUGCUUACAAUCUUUGAGGAUAGAUUUCGAUCAGAUUUUUAAUGAAUGACGGCAUGCCGCGUGGCAUUAUCUACAACCUAAUCCUUUCUUUUUCCUCCAUAUAACCCACCAUCCAUCCUAAGAAAUCACAUACCAAAAUCAAAAUCAAAAUCUCUAUCAUUAUUCAUAGUUUAUGCUUCCUUCUUACAAUGUCUUAUUCUUCAAGAAUGUUGUGGGAAAUCGAGGAGCAAGAGAAAAAAUUGUUUAAGCAAGGGGAAUAAAUGUUCAAUCUCCAAGUGGCCCAAAAUGAGAUGGAAGAGGAUGAGGAUGAGGAUGAGGAGUGUAGAAUGAGAGAUGAUGAAGCAAGAAGCCAAAGAGCCUCACAUUCCCAUUGAGUCAUUCAAGUUGGGGCUCAUAUCUGCAGGCCAAGCCAUUCCUGUAUUGAGUCCAUCAAGUUUUUGGCGAGUAAAGGUUUUUGAUGAACUUCAUUCAAGCCCUGCAGCGGGCCAUGAGGGUUUCCUUAAAACAUAUAAGAGGAUAUCCCGGUCAUUCUAUUGGGAAGGGAUGAAGAAGGACAUCAAGGAACGGGUCGCAACAUGUGCUAUAUGUCAACAAAAUAAGUAUGAGACUUUGUCCCCUCCUGGUCUCUUACAACCAUUACCAAUCCCAACUAAAGUGUGGUCUGAAAUUUCAAUGGACUUUAUAACUUCCCUUCCACCUUGUAAGGGUAAAACUGUGAUUUGGGUUGUUGUUGACAGAUUGUCCAAAUAUGGCCACUUUCUGGCGUUAAGUCAUCCUUAUACAGCUUCUCAAAUUGCUCAACUUUUUGUUGACAACAUAUUCAAGUUACAUGGUAUGCCACAAUCCAUAGUCAGUGAUAGGGAUCCAAUCUUCAUGAGCAAGUUUUGGAAAGAGUUCUUCCAUUUGCAAGGUUCUGCACUUUGUUUUAGCUCGGGGUAUCACCCACAAACCGAUGGACAAACUGAAGUUCUCAAUCGGUGUCUGGAAACCUAUCUACGAUGUUUUUGUAGUUUGCAACCCAAGAAAUGGGUCAGUUGGUUGUCUUGGGCAGAAUGGAGCUACAACACUAGCUUCCAUUCUGCUAUUAAAAUGAGCCCAUUUGAAGCUGUGUAUGGUUCUGCUCCUCCUGUUAUUCCCGCUUAUGAACCAGGUACAACUACGGUGGAAUCCGUGGAAUAGUGUUUGAAGGAAAGAACCAGAAUUUUGUCACUGCUGAAAUGUAAUUUGGAAGCUGCUCAAUGUCGAAUGAAAGUCCAAGCUGACAAGAAGAUGAUUGAAAGGGCUUUUGAAGUGGGCGAUUUGGUUUACCUUCGAUUGGUUCCUUACCAACUUAAGUCACUGGCAGCUCAUUCCUUCCACAAACUUCAGCCUCGAUUUUUUGGGCCGUUUUUUGUGUUAGCUAAAGCGGGUAAUGUUGCUUACAAAAUUAAGCUUCCUGAUCACUCCAAACUGCACCCUGUGUUUCAUGUCUCUUGCCUGAAAAAACAUCUUGGAGGUACUUUUCAAGCUUCAGUUCCUUUACCGGUGUUGACAGAUGAUGGGAUAUUGCAGGAUGUUCCGAUUGCAAUUUUGGAUCGCAGAAUAGUUAAGACGAAUAACUUGGCUAUAACAGAAGUCUUGGUUCAGUGGUGGAAUCAUUCUCAGGAGGAUGCUACUUGGGAAGUCUACCACGAAUUGAAACACAAAUUUCCAUAAAUUGUUCAUCUUUGACUAUCUUGUUUUGAGUGUCAGCAUGCUUAGUUGACUAUUCGCAUUGUAUUGUAGUUACAUUUGUUGUUGUUUUUGUGCUCUGUAAGUUCAGUUUUAAGGGGGGGUAUUGUUAGGAGUCUGUGACAGAUGGCAUAAUUCUGUUGGUAAUAGUUGGAUGAGAGUUAGUUGGGUGGGUUGUUUGUUAGAACUCACUACAUAUAACGAAUUGUAAAGGAAGUUGAGAUAGGAAUGAAAUUGUGAAUGUUCUCUGUAUUCUCUCUGUGCAAUCUCUCGAAGACGUAGCUAGGUCUUAACAGCAGUCUUCUUUUAAAUCCGCCCCUCCCCUCGCCAAUUCCUGGCGUCAUAAUGUCACUGAAAUGUGGUGUGCUGUGGAAGAUGAUGGUUGGGUAUUUAUAAGAAAAAAAUAUAAUUCUUUCUAUUUUUCUGAAUUUAAAAAAAAUAAUUUCUCAAACUUAAUUAGUAUGGACCGUUGGAUUACAUUUUUUUUCCCAAUCCAACAACCCUAAUUUUGUCACAUCACCCAACAGUAACUUUAAUUUUUUUUUCUACAUUUUUUAUUUUAUUUUAUAAGUUGGAAGACUAGGACCGUUCAUUAGAGCAACUCCAGCGUUGCAAAUGCCUCUUAGGGCUACUCACUAUUGAAUCCAUCCAGUGAACAGUAACUGUCUUUUGCAUCUCUACUCCUAAACUGAAUAGCCAUGGUAAUAGGUAAUGAAAUAUUAAUAUUUUUUAUUUUAUAAAAUAAUACAAAAUAAUUUUAUUUGUAAUUUCGGAUAAGAUUUUUAAUCAUUAUCGUUGCGUCACGUGUUAUUAUCCGAAAAGACAAUUAUUGGUGAUAGAUUUCGAUAAGAUUUUUAUCCAAUGCCGUCGUGCCACGUGUCAUUACCUUUUCAGAAUCGUUGAUGAUAGAUUUUUAACCAAUCACGUCGCGCCACGUGUCACAAUCUGUUUACAAUCUUUGAGGAUAGAUUUCGAUCAGAUUUUUAAAGAAUGACGGCAUGCCGAGUGGCAUCAUCUACAACCUAGUCCUUUCUUUUUCCUCCAUAUAACCCACCAUCCAUCCUAAGAAAUCACACACCAAAAUCAAAAUCUCUAUCAUUAUUCAUAGUUUCUACUUCCUUCUUCACCAAAAUCAAAAUCAAAAUCUCUAUCAUUAUUCAUAGUUUAUGCUUCCUUCUUACAAUGUCUUCUUCUUAAAAAAUGUUGUGGGAAAUCGAGGAGCAAGAGAAAGAAUUGUUUAAGCAAGGGGAAUAAAUGUUCAAUCUCCAGGUGGCCCAAAAUGAGAUGGAAGAGGAAGAGGAUGAGGAUGAGGACCGUAGAAUGAGAGAUGAUGAAGCAAGAAGCCAAAGAGCCUCACAUUCCCAUUAAGUCAUUCAAGCUGGGGCUCAGAUCUGCAGGCCAAGUCGUUCCGCAAACAUUGAUAGAAGCAAGCAACGACGAGGUAAAGAUGUUUUGGACGAUUAUUUUGUCUGUAACAGUGCAUUCCCUGAUACGUACUUUAGAUGUCGUUUUAGAAUGGAACGACAUUUGUUCAACAAAAUCGUGAUUGCUGUUUACAACCAUGAUUCUUACUUUGUGCAAAAGAAUGAUGCUUUAGGUGUUACGUUCUUGAGUCCCUGAUGAGGUUUUUAUCCGCAAUCGAAUCUCUCUACACUGCAGAAUAUCUCCAGAAACCUACUCAAAAAGCCUCACAUUCCCAUCGAGUCAUUCAAGUUGCAGCUCAGAUCUGCAGGCUCAGCCGUUCCACAAACAAUGAUAGAAGGAGGCAAUGAUGAGGUAAAGAUCUUUUGGACGAUUAUUUUGUCCGUAACAGUGCAUUCCCUGAUACGUACUUUAGAUGUCGUUUUAGAAUGAAACGACAUUUGUUCAACAAAAUCAUGAUUGUUGUUUACAAUCAUGAUUUUUACUUUGUACAAAAGAAUGAUGCUUUAGGUGUUACAGGUCUCAUUCCUGAGCAAAAAAUUACUGCUGCCUUGCGGAUGCUUGCAUAUGGAGCAUCUGCAGAUCAAGUGGAUGAGAUAGCGAGGAUGGAGAAAUCAACCAUUCUUGAGUCCCUGAUGAGGUUUUGCUCCGCAAUCGAAUCUCUAUACACCGCAGAGUACUUCCGGAAAACCUACUGAGAUGGACUUGCAAAGGCUUCUGAAGAAGGCCGUGAUGCGAGGUUUUCCUGGGAUGAUUGGAAGCAUCGAUUGUAUGCACUGGACCUGGAAAAACUGUCGAAAUGCAUGGUGGGGAGUUUAUGGGGACAGAAAAUGAGCAAAAAGUAUCAUUUUGAAGGCGGUGGCUUCAUUUGAUACAUGGAUUUGACACGUUUUUUUCGGUGUUCCGGGGGCUCAAAAUGACCUCAAUGUCCUUGCCCAAUCCUCAGUGUUCAACGAUGUCCUGCAAGGAAAAUUACCCAAGGUGGUCAUUGUUUGUCAAAACAGUGCCACGUCCGCGAAGUGCAAAGGAAAAACACUUUGCAAGCUGUCAAGAGGGGUGUAGGAAGGAUGUGGAACGUUGUUUUGGUAUCCUCCAAGCUCGUUGGACGAUUGUAAGGGGUGCUGCCAGAAUGUUUGAUUUAAAGUCGCUUCGAUCCAUCAUGAUGACGUGCAUCAUUCUUCACAACAUGAUUGUGGAAGAUGAGUACGAUUAUGAUGCCGUUGAUGAAUAUGAGCCAGACACAAUGAACAAUUCCAUAACACAAAUAUAUUGUGCUCAUGACGCCAUCGAAGAACCUUUGCAACACGAGCCAUUACAAAGGGGUGGAAGUUACAAUGAAAGGCUCAUUCAGCGAUAUACUGCGAUUCAAGACCCAUAUCUGCACAAUGCUUGGCAAAUUGACUUGAUAAAGCACCAGUGGGAAUUGAAACAAGCUCAAGAAACUUAAGUUCAUUUAGUGUGUUUGUUUUUAUUUGGUGUGUUUGUUUAAUUUUAUUGGUGUGUUUUUUAAGUUCAUUUAGUGACUUUUUUUUUUUAUUUGGUGUGUUUGUAAUUUUAUUUGGUAUGUUUAUGUAAUUUUAUUUGGUGUGUUUAUGUCAUUUGAAUAAAUAUACUCUUAGUUUAAAUAAAUUACCAAAUUAAAUAAAUAUACUCUUAGUUUAAAUAAAGUACUAAAUUCAAUAAAUUGAAACAACAUAAAGUACUCUAUUCAAUAAAUAAGAAAUUACAACCCAAAGCGAACAUGUGGCCCAACCGUUGGUAUGAGAAUUCAAAUUUUUUUACUGUUGGGAAUCCUACGGCCUAGAAAUAUAGUAGUUGGAAAUCCAACGGUUGAGAACAACCCACAUCGCCCCCUUUUAGAAGAGUCCGAGUGCGCCUGCAAGUGGGCCCUGCCACCUGCCUUUGGUCGGCUCACUCGCCAUGUUUCGCACGUUAAAGUCACGGGCCUGAAGCAAACAAAAAAAUAUUAAUAACGUGGAUGAUCUUAGAUAGCCUCAAAAAAGGCCUCAUGCCAUUCUCACCCGACUGCCUUGCCCGUUGGAGUUGGGUCCACUCAUUCGGUGAGGAAAUUGGCAUGGGCUGGAAUGGGGAUUCAAUCACCGUGGGGCAAUUUGUAGGGUGGGAUGGGAUUGCUCUUAAGGCGGGCAAGGGAUCAAUACCGUAUACUGCGCUGGUAUACGAAAAGAACAGAUAGGAAGACGCUCUUUCUCUCCGUCUCAGUCUCAUAUCCGACGACAGACCGAGCAACCAGGUACUCGAUUUGCUUGAAUAUAUUUGCUGUAAUUAAUUAAUUAAAUUUAGUUAGGUAGGUUAGGGUUUGGCUGCUCUCUCAGUUUGCUUCUAUUUUUGUAGUUUAAUUUUAAUUCAGGGUUUGGUUCUAGCAGCUAACAUGGAUGAUGAACCGAUUUUUUUGGGUUUUCUGAAACAGGGUUUAUUUGGCAACCAACGAACGAGUGAAGGCGAACACAGGCUCGAUCUCAUCGAUUAGGUAAACGUAACUCUCUCUCUCUCUCGUUGAAGCAAUUUCAGGUUUGGUGUUUGAAUUAAUGUUCCAAUUUUCAGUUUUGGGGUUUGAAUUAAUUCUCUAAAUUUCAGUUUUGGGGUUUGAAUUAAGGUUCUAAUUAUUAUCAUGAGAUCCAUGAAGCAAUUUCGGUUCUUAGGGUUUGAUUGGCAACGAAUUGUAUGAUUAAUACUGUGAUUGAUAUAUGUAUCAGUGCAUUGCAGAGGUAAUCGAUGGAGGCUGCUGGCGAUAUCAGUGCUCGCAAGGGAGUUACGGUUGGUGCUGUGUCCGCCCUUGUUUCCCAAUAUAACAAACUAUCAGUGUGUAACACCUCGGAGCAUCUCAUAAGUACUAGAAACUCUACGGGCAAGGAGGAGGACGAGGAUGCACAUCAACCGAGCUAUAAGGCUAAGAAGAAGAACAGAUAUCUGGCUGCCAAAAAGCCGGCCUAUCGUUCACCAAACAAGAACAAGGCGGCCUAUCAAUUUCCCGCUAUGCCACCAUGGCCAUGGCCAGUUGCUGAGGACAUGCCUGUUGAUGAAACCCCCUUUCCCGAAUGUCUCUACCUUUUGACUGAUGGUGAUGGUCGCAAGAUUGCAUUAUCUGAUGAGCCUUUUGACUUGGAAGAUUUUUAUAUGCUGAUCUAGAGAAGGCCGAUGCCAGGACGAGGGAGUACCUGAUCUGGAGGGAGGAGGAGAGGGAGAAGGAGAAGGAGGCUAAGUGCAGAAAGCCGCGAGGAACGAGGCUAGGAAAAAGGCGGGCCAUAAUUCGGGGUCUGGCGAAGUGACCCUACCCUUGAAGUAGGUAGGAGGAGAUUGUGUAACUUCUAUGGAUCGACACAAGGACUUGUCAAGGAGGUAGUCACUUCUAGCUAAGAUAUGUAAUAAGUGUUUUUACUUGUUCGUACUGUAUUUUCGGAACAAUUUGUAAUGUUGACGUUAAGUGUAUAUUCGAUAGCAUCUAUGCCUCAAAUUAUUUACUUGUGUUUGGCUUUUGGCAAGAAGACUUUUUUUUAGUAGAGGUUUAGUAGCAUAAAUAGGUUAACCGUUGGUAGGCUUAUAGCAAGCAGGCUUUUUUUUCUUUUUUUGUGGAGAAUAUGAUGAUGGGGUGUGUCGUUCGUGUGUGUAUCUAUCGACUUAUGUUCCCAACAGAGUGCCGGUUGCUGCUUAGUAGGACUCUGUUCAUGGUUUUCUCCAUCCCCUCCCCUCCCCUCCCCGUCCAUGCACGGGUUUUGAUCCCCGCCCCUUCAGAUACAUUUUAAUGGUAUUACAAUGGCACCCGGUCGUCCAUCUCCUCCGUAUGUCAUCAUCCCACGCUUUCAGUUUCAGUUUCAGUUUUGCCAAGUGCUUGAACAUCUUCCUCAUGUUGGAGUGUGAGAGAAGCUAUGGGGCGUUGGUUCAUGUCUAAAUUGGCAGCCAGAACGGAUUUCAUUUCCAAGCAUGUAAAAUGUCCAACACAAAUACAUGAAAGUAAAUUUAACGAUGAUUUUUUAGAAUUUCCGUUGUGGCCUAUUUUAGUGACAAGGGAAUAAGGGGUUGCGACAAGGAGAGAGAGAGUGGAGAAAGUGUAGGAAUUUCUCUGUGUGAUCAAGCGAGUAUACUUGGAUUGUUCCCCUGAGUUUGACAUAAUUCCAAAGAGAACUAACAAUUUACAACUCAAAAAGUUUACGCAUAUCAAUUCCUUGAACAAGUUUCUGAAACGUCGUCUUCGGCAAAGACUUGGUGAAGAGGUUGGCCAAGUUGUCCUGGGAACGGAUUUGCUUGACUUCAAUCUUCUGAUACACUUGUUGCUGAUGUGAGGAGAAGAACCUUGGCGCAAUGUGAUUGGUGUUGCCUCCUUUGAUGUAUCCCUUCUUGAGGAGAAGACUUUUAUGGAUCGACACAAGGACUUGUCAAGGAGUUAGUCACUUCUAGCUAAGUAAUGUAAUCAUCAGGUGUUUUUACUUGUGCGUAUUGUAUUUUCGGAACGAUUUGUAAUGUUGACGUUAAGUGUAGCAUCUGAUGCCUCUAAUAUUUACUUAUGUUUGGCUUUUGGCAAGCAGACUUUUUGUUUUCCGUUUUGAGUUUAGCGUGCAUGGCCAAUUUCAGUAGAAAUGAAUCCUGAUUUCUUGGAUUCAAUCGAUUGCACUACUAAUGCAGUAGCCAGUAAUCUGUCAAUUAAAAUUGUUUGACAUGCGCACGACACGACACUCUUUAGAGAGUAAUACAGUUACUCAUCCAUAAGCUCUUAAUAUGCAAGUUACGUGACUUAAAUUGUCGAAAAAUUAAACAUAAUAGCUUCCAAUCUAAUAGCACAAUUGUUGUCGGAACGUUUUUUUAAUCACUCUCUCUCCCAAAACCUCUUGGAAAGCUACAUUAAAGGUAAUAAGUAUUUCAUUAAUAAAAUAAAAUGAGGAACAUCAUCCAUAAGGAAUACAUUUUCAUGAUUACAAACCCGACAAAAAACACAAUACAGUUGCUAUCUACAUAUAUAACCACCACAUCUAACCAAACAGAAAGAUAAACGCUCACAAGGAGACUUAUGUUCGGAUGACCAUAUGAGUACUUGAAGGCUUCCUCUAUCCUCAUUAGCAACUACACAACACUUUCUUGGUAUAGUUCGCCUGGUGGACUAGAAUAUUGCCAGAACAAUGUUCGAUCUUGAGGCCGAGACAAUAUUGAGUUUUCCAAAAAUUUUUUAAUCUCAAAUUUUGACUUGAGGUGCACCACAAUUUUUUUUCUGGCUCUUUAGGAGCCCCGUUGAGAUUAAUGUUAUCGACAUAAACUUCAACUAUCGUAAAUUCGAAAUGUGACUUGAUGAUAAACACGCAGAGGCAUAUUUUGUUAUACGCAAAAACCCUCGCUCUACGCAAAACACUUCUCACGCACCCAACCCUCCUCCCCGUCAACAUAUCUUCAGUUUGGAUAAGUAAAUAUCAUUGUCUUGACAACCGGGCUAUAUCUUUAGUUUGGAUAAGUAAACAACACUGAAGUCAUAGAAUCUAGCAACAUAUAAGCACCUUCAAUUUUGAAAAGUAAGCAACAAUGCUUCUGGGUGGUUGGUUAUAUACCAAGUCUCUGGAAGCGAAGAGCUCUCAACUUUUUCGCCCAAAAGAUGUCACUUCAAUAACUUCCAAGUGAAAUGAGGUGUUUUAUAAUUAGUUACUCUUAGAUGCAUUUCAUAAUUCGACGUACAGAAGACCGACUAAUGUUCACUACUAUAAAGACACAUACCAUUUUACCGUGAAAAAGAAUAGAGAAAAACUAAUUUAGGAACCAAAUGGAUUACUCAAAUACAAUUGGAAAUCCGAAGAGGCCUUUGGAAAAGUUUCCUUAAAAAGUAAAAACAAGAAACUAAUAAUGUUGAGUUUUGCGUGCGGAAUACGAAAAAUGUAAUAAUCCAAACCAUUAAUGGUUUCCCACUUCCCAGUCCAGUCCCAGUCCCAUCCACUGUACCGUCUUCUCCGUCAUAAACGACUUCGUGGGUUGAGGGUCACACUUUAAACCCGACCCGCCGCCUCUUAUCACCACCGCCAGCGCCACCGCAAGAAAAUGAGCAAGAGGGUGUCCGGUCCCAAGCUGAGGCGUAUGUAUUGGGGUUUGGGUCGACUCCGGUCGAUUCUCAUGGCGACGGCGACAAUUGACAUUGCUAAUUUGCAAGUGUUUGUAGAGGUAUUUAUUUAUUGCUCCUCCUCGAUUCUCAUGCUAAAUUUUAGUUUAAAGUAUGAAACUUUUUCAUGUUUUCCUUCCUGUAAUCUCUCUCUCAGCAACAAUUAGUUUAAUAUUAUCAAUAAAAGUUGUUUUGGUGUAGGGAAUUGAUGAGAGAGAGAGAGAGAGAGAGAGAGAGAGAGAGAGAGGGAGAGGGGUUGAAAGCUUGAAGCUUUUUAAAAAAAAUUUCUCGCUUAUUUGUAAUGCAGAAUGGAGGACGGACAUUGCUGAGCUAUCUGGGCCUGACUUUCGAGGUUUGCAUUACAUCGGUGGAUGGUAAACUAAAAUCUGCUGGUCGACAUUGUUCUCGCCUGCAAAGUACAUGGCUUUCGAACUACAUAUGGACAACCUAAAGCUAGCGCUCUCGUAUACUUGUCCCCAGAGACCUUGCGGUUGCGGUUUCAGGUGAUUUUUUUAUACUCAAACGUCCGAUGACUGAUGGCAAAGGUGGUGCUGGUGUUGUAUCUGAUGAUCCACUUUCAACAACUUCAGUGCCUUGUUCUAUUUCUGCUUAUGGGUGUUAGUGGCUGCUCUAGAAUUGGUGGUUACUUAUGAAUUAGAUUUCUUGAGUAUUUACUUGCAUUUGUAUCUUCUAAAUCUUUUGUCUAUACCUACUUUUUGUCUUGUGUUGCUUGCAGCAUGAGAUAACUUUUGCUUCUAAGAUUAACUUAUUUUUGUUCCAACUUCGAAUGUGGUGCCGGUUGAUGCAGGUUUGCCGCGAAGGAAAUCUUCCUCCAGAUCCCCUGCCACUGUUCAACUAGAACUUGGUCUGGUUGAUACAUUUCUCAGAUUUUGUAGGCUUGGAUGGCAAGCUGGCUGGUUGAAAUUGAUUUCAGUUUCUUUUGUCCUUUGCUCCUCACCCAACAGAGUUGAACAGAUACUGCUUUAUUUUGGGUUCGAACAUGUAACAGCUGCUGCUGCCUCUCACAGUGUUGGUAAACUUAUGGGAAAAAAGCAGAUGGGGCACCUUUCGCGAGUCAUAAUGUACAAAAACGUCAACCACUACCUAUUUUCCUUGAGCUCGUCCGAGGCCCGUUUAUCUCUAGGGUUACAAUUCAUUGAUUUCCUUGGCGGGAAAAGCUCUCUGCGGUGAGGGUCCUAUUAGCAGUGCACCUUCAUAAUAUUACCCUUUGUUGCAUUGCAUAUAUGUUCAUACUUUCUUUGUCCAUUUAUGUUCUGUCAUAAAGAAAUCUGACUUCCACAGUGAAAGUGGAAAUUAUUUUUAUGAAAUGUUUUUAAACUGGAGAAGAAAAAGUUUUCUUCAUUUCUUUGUAUUUUGUGAAUUAAAUUUCAUCAGUUAAUACUAUAAUUGUCUUACCUCCCCGCACAGGAUAUCUGCAAACAGUUCAACUUGAGCUGAGAAAGUCCUUAGCUUGGAGGCAUUGCCAGAUCCUAUAUUACAUGUUUGAGAAACGGUUGAUCAUUUUUUAAGCAAACCACGAGGCAGUAAAAGUAAUUUCAGCUUCGCAUCUCUCUUGGGUACCACCAAUGACAUCGAGUGAAGAACAGGCCGCCCUGGUGAAUUUCUUCCCAGUGCUACCUUGCUCUGUUUAUCUGCUUUUCCACAUAAUUGUGUCCAAGAAGAUGCUGCUUUAGUUGCUGAAGAGCUAUCUGCUAUGAAUUUGAAUCCUUACAGCCAUUCACUUCCCCUAUUCGGAGCUCUAGGAAAGUUCGUCUUAAAGAGCGACCGUCAGGUAAUAGUUAUAUUGGAUCCUCCAAUGCCGUACACAUAAUAUCUUCCAUUUGGUUUAAGAUCUGAAAUUCUAAUGCUAUGAAUUGUUUGGCCUCAUUUAGUCAAUAUUUCCAAAUUUUGAGAUACCGUAUCAUUUUCUUUUGACAUAAAAGUAAGUAAAUAGAUAAAUAAAAAGAUUUUAAAGUGAUUUCAAUGAGAGACGUGAACGAAACUGGAAAGUUUUCAUAAAGAUCUGCGUACAUUUAUGUACCAAUAAUGCAUCGAUACCUGGUGUAGCACGUGUGAGAAGUGUGUCAAUUCGCGAAAAUAAAUUAUUGCACCUUCUGACAUGCUCUAUAGAGAACCUUUUCUUACUGACUACUGGAUUUGUAUGAUAGUAUUCCUGGUCUUGUCUAUUUUGGCACUAUACACAAAUAGGAUGUAUUGCUAUUUGGAGUGUAUGCAAGAAGGGAGGGGAAUACUGAUCAUGCAAGAAGGGAGGGGUCUUCAUUUAGCACGGCAUUUUCAUCUGUCGAGUGUUGAUGGCUUACUUUGGUAAGGUCUCUAGAUGUUUAUUGAAAAUAUGUUUUAUUGUAUAUCAAUUUAGCUACUGAUAUUUGUUUCAUAAUUUUUUUUUCUCUGUCCAAUAUGAGUUUUUUUUUUUCGUGAGGUGGUUAGACUUUGGAUGUAUUGUGUUUAUUGGGAAUGACUAGAACUUAGAUUUUCGCCAAUUUGGCAUCAGAGUCGUUGAGGGGUUAGCUCUUUCUUUCGUCAAAUUGAUAAUUCCUUUCAAUAAUCUUCAACCCUCUGUGUGAAGGUUUGUCAUGGACUUUGUUGGCAUUUAGACAUUGUGUUUACUUUAAUCUUCCACUAUUGAUUUGAGGAGGAAUUACGGUCGGAUGCUUCGCUUCUAUAAAUCUGGGAUGCUGAGACGGAACUUGCCAACGAGCAUGGCGAUGGGUGUGAAUCAUCAUUUCAUGCAAUGCAUAUUUUAUUUUGCUUAGGAAGUGGUGCAAUAUGAAGUCUGCAGAAUGUCAACCAUUGGAAUUGAUGGGAGCACGGCAAGGUUUCAUGGAAAGAGUAAGGACAGUACAAAUGGCACGGGUGCAAGGUGGUAUACAUGGAUGAUCAGUCGGUUGCUCUCAUAUGUUUCUGAUGCUUUUAUUUGAAGAGUUAACCUCUGGAUCAGGCUUUUGCAAUGGUGCUUCCAGGUAGUUCUCCUGUGCGUCUCCUCAUGUCCUGUAGUGCUAGUAAAAUUAUAUUUGAUUCAAGUAGCUUUACUUGAUCCUGUCAGUCAUAUUCCGUAGUUCUGCUGCUGUGUAGAAAGGGUGUCUUUUGAGUAGCAUACUUUUUAAGUAGAGUAAAUAGCGUAGGUGUUAGCGGUAGGGUAUUGAAUGCUUUAAAUUUACUAAAGAAUUACGAAAAAGGGUUGGUGAAGGUAUGGAAUCUCAAUCUCAUAAUACGCAUGCGUUAGUAAUGAUGCCGAGCAUCACUUUGAUGGCAUGUUUACGUAAGGGUAAUCGGAAUAAAGAAAGGGAAUUGAAUUCCGAUUACGGAGUAUUCUGGUGUUUACUAAAUAUUAAGGAAUCAAAAAAGUGGUGGAGCCCACACGAAACAAGGAAUCCAAUUCCUGAAAUUGGAGGAACCGGAUUCCCUAGUUUUGUGAGGUAUUUGAAUUCCCUAAGGGCAAGGGAAUUAGGAAUGCAUAUUUUAUUCCAAUUAUGCCCUCACUUGUUUCUUAUUAUCCCAACAUUGCCCUUCAUUUGACACUCAUUAUGUCAUUUUUAAUAAAUAAAUAAAAACCUAUUUAUAUUUUUUUUAUAGAUAAUUUUAUUAUAUAAAUUUAAUUAAGAAUUUAAUUUAAUUAAUUAGUAUGAAAAUAAUUUAUUUAUGUAAGGGCAAUUUAGUCAUCAACUUAGUUUUCAUUCCGAUUGAAGUGAAUUAGUAAACAACUUAUAUAGACUCAAUAUCAUUUUUGUCAUCUUUUAAUAAAUAAAUAAAACCUAUUUAUACAUGCUUAUAUAGAUGAAUUUUAUUAUAUAAAUUUAAUUAAGAAUUAAAUUAAAUUAUUAGUAUGAAAAUAAUUUAUUUAUGUAAGGGCAAUAUAGUAAUCAACUUAGUUUUCAUUCCGAUUGAAAUGAAUUAGUAAACAACUUAUAUGGACUCAACAUCAUUCCUACUCCGAUUCCUGACAGUUUUAGUAAACAACUUCAACAGGAAUCUGAUUCUGAUUCCACCUCAUUUCAAUUCCUCCUCAAUCCAAUUCCCCCUCAAUCCAAUUCCUCUCAAUUUGAUUACGGAUUAGUAAACGCGCCAUUGUAUUAAUACGUGAUGUUUCCUUACAUGGCUGGCAAUGGCGAUGCCGAAUAUGCAGGUUGGCGGCGGCGGGUGGACGUUGAGAAUAGAAUUUUGUUACAGUGGCUGUACUCGACGGACGGAGGCUGCAGCUGGUGGUGGUUGAAGCUGUGUGUGUGCGUGCGUUGUCAAUGAUGUAUAACAGAAACACAGAUUGAAUUAGUUGCUUAGGAAUCUUGCUAUCUGUGACUAUACACAAACACAGUACGUGUUGAGCCAAAAUCAUGCAUCCAUCUUGCAUUAACAACAGACGGCAGAGGCUUGAACGGAACAAAAUGUUGCAAAUAACCAAAAUCAAAGUAUAUCCAAACUGCCACUACAGCGUUUGUUUUUAACCAAGAAAACAUGCCUCCGAUCCCAUUUCAUUAUGGAAGGAAAAAAAAAUGAAAUAAAAAUACAGCAUUUAUAAAUUUAUGUGGGUUGAUUGUUGUAAUCUCAGACUUGGCAAUGUAUGUUUUACAAGUAUAAUUGAGCAUAAAAUAAUAAUAAUAAUGAUAAAAAAGAGGUGUUUGAAUUAAAUUAAUGGAGACGAAGGAACCUUUACAAGUUAGAAGGAACGAUCCAACGAACGAACAUCAUCUCUCUCUCUCUCUCUCUCUCUCUCUCUCUCUCUCUCUCUCUCUCUCUCUCUAUAUAUAUAUAUAUAUAUAUAUAUAUAAAGUGAGAAUCUCAAAUAGGUGGAGCUUUUAAUAUUUCAAUUAUGUCCUUACUUUGAUAGAGAAAAUAAUUAACAACUACCCAACAAAAUAGGGACAAAAUAGUAAUAUUGUACAAUUUAGAAAUCAAAAUUUGAUUAAAACCUUAAUAAUAUUCAAAAUUUGAUCAAGGUCUCUUGACUUUGUACACCUCAUUAUAUUACUAUUAAUAUUUAUAUUUUUAUAGUUUUGACAUUAAUUAUUUGAUAUUUUAUAAGAUUUAUAAUCCUAUAAAUUUAAAAUCCCUCAUUAUAAUACGAUUAGAAACAGUUACAAUAAAAAAAUUCAAACAUUUUGAUUGAAUAAAUGGAUAAAAACUAUGUAAAAAUAAGAAAUAAUAAAUGGCAAAAGAAUGUAUCCAUAGUGUUAAAAAAAUUGGUACAUUUUACAAAAACAUUGGUACAUUUCACAUACAACAAAGUGGUACAUUAAUAAAAAAUAAUGGGUACAUUAGAAAUAAAUUAGGGUACAGAUAAAAGAUUAAAAAUUAUGAAUACAAAUGAAUUUUUAAAAAUAUAGGCGCUAAAAAAAAUUAAUACAUGGGUACAAAAUAAAACUAAAAAAAAAAUACUACAAAUUAAAAAAAAAUGUUGCAAAUUAAAAGUGGAUACAAACUAAAAAUAUAAAUAUAUGAUACAAAGUUUAAGCAUAAAACAUAAAUAUACCAUAUGUAAUUUUUCUAUCGUUGAUUAAUUAUACAAUGUCUCGUGAGGGUAUACACAUGGUUACAAACACAAAUAAAACUUCAAAAAAUAUGGGCACAAAAAGAAACUAAUAUAUGGGUACAAAUUAAAAAUGAAAAGAGAAUUGGUACAAAUUAAAAAAUAUUUGCAAAUUAAAAAUAGGUACAAACUAAAAAUAAAAAUAUAUGAUAAAAAAUUUAGCCAUAAAUAUAAAUAUAAUAAUUGUAACAUUUUUAACAUUAAAGGAAUAUAUUUAAAAAUAAAAAUAUUUUAUUAUUCAAAUAAUUAAUGAUGUUAUUAAUACCUAAGAACCUUGAUCAAAAAUUGAAAAUGAAUAGGAUUUUAAUCAAUGGAGUAACAAAAAUAAGGCUGUGAACCUAAUUUUCCCUUCAGAAAUCAAACGUGGAAGAGACAAAUUCCACCACGUUUGCAAAUCGGUUUUUUCUCAAAUUGUUAGAUUUCCUUGCCGAGGGGGAUAGGCGGAGGCCAUUCCAUCAGUUUAUAUCUCAAACUGCAGAUAUCCCAACAUAGGCCAUUGGUAAAGGUAGCGGUACUGAAGAAGCAGAAAAAACACGUAUGUGUAUAGCGCAACAAGUCAUACGGUUUCAAACUGCCACUACAGCGGUGGUUUUUAACCAAGAAAUCGUGCCUCCAAUCCAAUUUCAUUAUAAAAGGAAAAAAAAUGAAAUAAAAAUACAACAUUUAUAAAUUUAUGUGGGUUGAUAAUCGUAAUCUCAGACUUGGCAAUAUAUGUUUUACAAGUAUAAUUGAACAUAAAAUAAUAAUAAUAAUGAUAAAAAAGAGAUGUUAGAAUUAAAUUGACGGAGACGAAAGAGCCCUUACAAGUUAGAAGGAAGGAAGUAACGAACAUCAUAAAAAUUAAAAGAAAGAGAAAGAGGGGGAGAGAAAGAAAAAGACAAAACCAACGAUAAAACUCAGAAACAAAACAAGUCCACCAAAGCCCCCUAACCUUAACACAAGGUUUCUAUCAGAGGAAAGGAGGGCGCCGCCCUUAGUAAUAGUCUUUCUCUCUCUUAACGUUUAGCUGCUGCUUAACCUUCAGCUGUUAUUGAGAAGAAGAGAGAGAGAGAGAGAGACAGACAAAGAGAGAAGACACCAUUGAAGGCGGCAAAGAAGAGGAGGUUGGGCAACACUUGUUUGGGGUAUUUCUCUUUCGACCAACCCUAGUUGAGUAGUUAGUUAGGGCUUUCCCUUUCCCCCGAUAUAUGAUUCUCUGUCUUUGUCUGUUGUUAGUUCUCACUUUUAUCCUUCUUGCAGGGCAGUCUAGUGCGGAGAAACAAGCAAAAAAACACAAUGGGGCUGCUAGUCUAACAGUUUCCUUGUAGAUUUGCAAUGAAAAUUUGAAUCAUCAAUCAUGAACAAAUGGGUGGAAAUUGCAGCAUUGAUGUCAAGAUGUAAACUUUCUUUUCAAAAGAAAUAAUGACAUAUAGACUUUAUGGGUAUUGUGAAUAAUGUACAUAUUGUGAUGUAGGUUUUAUAUUUUGACAUUUAAGUUGUUUAGUAUUUUGCUACGAGUACUUAAUGUUUUCAUCACCAUCACUUUUUAUAUUUGCAUCUACUUACUAUUGUUCAUGGACUUUAGUUAGGAACUUGCAUCCAAAAUCCUAUGUUGUUUGACAAUUGCAUGAAUAACAUUUAAAUCAUUACUUUAUGCAAAGUGAAAACGAAAAACAUGACAACUUUUUAGGAUGUACAUGGUAAAGAAAAAUAACAAAGCUGAACGUUAAGCAGCAGCUAAACCUUUAGAGAGAUAAAGACCAUUACCAAGGGCAGCGCCCUCCUUCUCCUUUGAUAGAAACCUUGUUGUUAGGGUUAGGGGGCUUUGUGGAAUUGUCAGACCAUUGCCAAGGGCGGCGCCCUCCCUCUCCUCUGAUAUAAACCUAUAUCAUAAUAUGUACAUUAUUCACAAUACCCAUAAAGUCUAUAUGUCAUUGUUUCUUUUGAAAAGAAAGUUUACAUCUUGACAUCAAUGCUGCAAUUUCCACCCAUUUGUUCAUGAUUGAUGCUUCAAAUUUUCAUUGCGAAUCUACAAAUGAUAGUGAGAAAAUUAAAAAUCACUUCCCUCAAUUUAUAGUGUCAUUGUUUAUUACCAAGUGGCCACUGCAAAGAUUAUCACCUCCCUCCCUAACUUUUUACUAAUUUUUGUCUACUUCGUCUAAUUAUUUUAAUGCCUUAAUCUCUUGAAUGCUUCGUCUUUGCUUUUUCAUCCAUCUCAGGUUUUAACACAUUUUGUGAUUGUGAAACAGGUAUUGGAUUGAUUUUAGCAGGUGUGAUUUUUUGUUAUCGUUGAUUAGAUUCGGACCUUUGUGUCGAUCAAAGUCAUUAUUGCUGGGUUAGCUGAGGUAUGAUUGCUAGCUUUUUCUCUUGGUGCAAUACAAAAUGUUUUGAGUUGUUAUACGGACUUAAGAUUUAGUAAGUACUUGCCGAAAGUCAUGGGAUUUUGAAAUAUCGAUGUCUUGCUUGCUUAUAAGCUUACAAAUUUCUUUUUAGCUUAAACAUCGAUGAAUCAAGGAAGUCCUUUUUCACUGCCUCACAGCGUACAAUGUGUUUGUGAUUUACACAAUAGAGUCGUUCCCCACAUGUGUGAGGAUCUGUGCAUGCAACCUCAUUGGUUAGGCAUGCCUUGAAUUUUGAUGUUUGGGGCAGUGUUUAAUCCUUUGCCAGUGGUGCUCCACUUUGUGAUACCAUGGAUGAGCAAGAAAGUAAAUAGAAGAGUUUGAUUGCAUAAUUACUCAAAAAAAAUAAGUUUAUAUUUUUUUAACUAUUCUGAAGUGAAAUCAGUAAUCUUCUACUGGUCCGGUUCAAUGUUGUCCCUGUUUAUAUGGGACGAUGCAACACUUAAAUGAUACUUUUCUAAUUAGAGCCUUUAUGAUGGUCAUUAUUAGUUCUCCAAUGUAUUGGGCAAUGCAGUUUUGUUGGUUCAUAUUAGGAAAUAGGUUGCUUUUACUUAAAGCCUUUCUGAUUGUCGCCAUUAAUUCUCGCACAUAUGGGCAAUGAAGUUUUGUUGGUUAUCUGUUGUAGCAGCAUACUAAGUCAUGAUUGUUACAACGUCUGACCUUGAACUUUCUUUUUGCUUAUUUAGGCGAAGUUUUCAUAAAGAUCUGCGUACAUUUAUGUACCAAUAAUGCAUCGAUACCUGGUGUAGCACGUGUGAGAAGUGUGUCAAUUCGCGAAAAUAAAUUAUUGCACCUUCUGACAUGCUCUAUAGAGAACCUUUUCUUACUGACUACUGGAUUUGUAUGAUAGUAUUCCUGAUCUUGUCUAUUUUGGCACUAUACACAAAUAGGAUGUAUUGCUAUUUGGAGUGUAUGCAAGAAGGGAGGGUAAUACUGAUCAUGCAAGAAGGGAGGGGUCUUUAUUUAGCACGGCAUUUUCAUCUGUCGAGUGUUGAUGGCUUACUUUGGUAAGGUCUCUAGAUGUUUAUUGAAAAUAUGUUUUAUUGUAUAUCAAUUUAGCUACUGAUAUUUGUUUCAUAAUUUUUUUUUCUCUGUCCAAUAUGAGUUUUUUUUUUUUCGUGAGGUGGUUAGAUUUUGGAUGUAUUGUGUUUAUUGGGAAUGACUAGAACUUAGAUUUUCGCCAAUUGGGCAUCAGAAUCGUUGAGGGUUUAGCUCUUUCUUUCGUCAAAUUGAUAAUUCCUUUCAAUAAUCUUCAACCUUCUGUGUGAAGGUUUGUCAUGGACUUUGUUGGCAUUUAGACAUUGUGUUUACUUUAAUCUUCCACUAUUGAUUUGAGCAGGAAUUACAGUCGGAUGCUUCGUUUCUAUAAAUCUGGGAUGCUGAGACGGAACUUGCCAACGAGCAUGGCGAUGGGUGUGAAUCAUCAUUUCAUGCAAUGCAUAUUUUAUUUUGCUUAGGAAGUGGUGCAAUAUGAAGUCUGUAGAAUGUCAACCAUUGGAAUUGAUGGGAGCAUGGCAAGGUUUCAUGGAAAGAGUAAGAACAGUACAAAUGGCACGGGUGCAAGGUGGUAUACAUGGAUGAUCAGUCGGUUGCUCUCAUAUGUUUCUGAUGCUUUAUUUGAAGAGUUAACCUCUGGAUCAGGCUUUUGCAAUGGUGCUUCCAGGUAGUUCUCCUGUGCGUCUCCUCAUGUCCUGUAGUGCUAGUAAAAUUAUAUUUGAUUCAAGUAGCUUUACUUGAUCCUGUCAGUCAUAUUCCAUAGUUCUGCUGCUGUGUAGAAAGGGUGUCUUUUGAGUAGCAUACUUUUAAGUAGAGUAAAUAGCGUAGGUGUUAGCGGUAGGGCAUUGAAUGCUUUAAAUUUACUAAAGAAUUAUGAAAAAGGGUUGGUGAAGGUAUGGAAUCUCAAUCUCAUCAUACGCAUGCGUUAGUAAUGAUGCCGAGCAUCACUUUGAUUGUAUUAAUACGUGAUGUUUCCUUACAUGGCUGGCAAUGGCGAUGCCGAAUAUUCAGGUUGGCGGGCGGGUGGACGUCGAGAAUAGAAUUUUGUUACAGUGGCUGUACUCGACGGACGGAGGCUGUGUUGAAAGGUAAUCUUGCUUCUAGAAUGGCCGGUGCAUGCAUUGAAAAUGCUAGACAAUUCUAGCAUGAAUAUGGCAUGUGUUCAUUAUGUUCAUAAGCAAAGUCUAUGUUGGUGGGCUACUUUAAGAGAAUCAAGAAUAAUGGCUAGGAUGAUUUCAUACUUGGUAUUCACACUUGGUAUGGUUGGUUAUGCUUGCCUAUAAAUAUAGGUGAGUGUGUUGUAAUGUAAGAUAUAAGAAGAAGAAAAGAGAAGUGAGAAAGAAGAAGAAGAAGUAAGAGAGACAAGAAGGCUCUCUAAAGUGAGAAUAAGUAGAAGAAGCAUUCAUAGCUUCCAAGAGUGUUUGAGUGAUUUCUCUUGUAUUAGUUUGUGUGAGAAUAAGAAAAGUUUUGAGUGUUACCUUGAAUAUUCUUUUUCUCUUGCCUAUCAAUUUCCGCUGUGUUACAUUCUUAUUUGUGAGAUAGACAUCUCCAAAGUAGAGAAGUCUUUUAAAUCCCAACAAAGUGGUAUCAGAGCCAUGGCUAACAAUGCUAUGGCAGCUUUCCAAGUUCCAGUGCUCAACAACAACAACUUCGAUAAUUGGUAUAUCAAAAUGAAGGCCCUUUUGGGAGCACAUGAUGUAUGGGAAGUCGUGGAGAAAGGCUACACUGAGCCAGAAGAUGAAGCUACUUUGUCCCAACCCCAGAAGGAGAGUUUGAAAGAUUCAAGAAAGAGAGACAAGAAGGCUCUCUACCUCAUCUACCAAGCAUUAGAUGACAAUGGUUUUGAGAAGGUCUCAAGUGCAACCUCCACCAUGCAAGCAUGGGAGAAGCUUCAAACCUCUUACAAAGGAGCCGAACAAGUGAAAAAGGUUCGUCUUCAAGUAUUAAGAGGUGAGUUCGAAUCUUUACAAAUGAAAGGGUCUGAAUCAAUCUCCGAUUACUUCUCAAGAGUGUAGCCGUUUCCAAUCAAUUAAAAAGAAACGGUGAAAAAUUAGAAGAUGUAGAAUUAUGGAGAAGAUACUACGCUCGUUGGACCCCAAGUUCGAGCACAUUGUCGUGACAAUUGAAGAAACUAAAGACUUGGAAGAAAUCAGUAUAGAGCAAUUAAUGGGUUCGCUACAAGCAUAUGAAGAGAAACAUAAGAAGAGGCAAGGGAAUGAUGAGCAGCUCCUCAAGAUACAUAUUCAGCCAAAGAAGAAAGAAGAAAGCUUCGACAACGAGAGAAGCCAGUACGGAAGAAGUCGUGGCCGAGGUCGCGGACGUGGACAUGGACGUGGACGCAGUUGGAACUUCAACAACCAUAGCAACUACGAAAGAGGAGAAAGCUCAACAAAAGGUCGUGGGAGAGGACGCUCAAACUUGAGGUAUGAAAAAUCUCAAGUUCAAUGCUAUAAUUGUCAAAAGUUCGGGCAUUAUGCUUGGGAAUGUAGAGCUCCAAACAACAGACUUGAUGAGAAGGUCAAUUAUGUGAAAGAAGAUAAAGAAGAGAAUGGCGUUAUGCUACUAGCAUGCAAGAACAAUGAUGGAGACCAAGACUAUACAUGGUAUCUUGACACCGGCGCCAGCAACCACAUGUGUGGAAAAAGAAGCGUGUUCGUAGAGCUCAAUGAAUCAGUGAGUGACAACGUUUCUUUUGGAGACGAAUCCAAAAUACCCGUAAAAGGAAAAGGUAACAUCCUUAUUCCCCUUGAAAAUGGCGGUCACCAAUUAAUUUCAAAUGUCUACUACGUGCCCAAUAUGAAAAGCAACAUUUUGAGUUUGGGUCAACUCUUAGAAAAAGGUUAUGAUUUUCAUACAAAAAAUUAUAUCCUUUUUCUUAGAGAUGACAAAGGAAGAUUAAUUGCCAAGGCGAAAAUGUCAAAAAAUAGGAUGUUUCCCAUGAACAUUCAAAACGAUGUUGCAAAGUGUCUCAAGAUAUGUUACAAAGACAUAUCUUGGCUUUGGCAUCUUCGUUUUGGGCAUCUUAACUUCGGGGGAUUGGAGUUAUUAUCUAAGAAGGAGAUGGUGAGAGGAUUACCGUGCAUCAGCCACCCUGAUCAAGUUUGUGAAGGAUGCUUACUUGGAAAACAAUUCAGGAAAAGCUUUCCAAAGGAGUCGACCACAAGAGCCCAGAAGCCACUUGAGCUCAUUCACACCGAUGUGUGCGGUCCUAUAAAACCAAGCUCUUUGGGUAAAAAUAAUUAUUUCCUUCUCUUCAUUGAUGAUUUUUCAAGAAAAACCUGGGUUUAUUUCUUGAAGCAGAAAUCAGAAGUCUUUGGAGCAUUCAAGAAGUUCAAAGCCGCCGUAGAAAAAGAGAGUGGUUACAAGAUCAAAGCCAUGAGAUCUGAUCGAGGAGGAGAAUUCACUUCAAAGAAAUUUCAAGAAUUUUGUGAAGCCAAUGGAAUUCGUCGACCUUUGACAGUUCCAAGAUCCCCUCAACAAAAUGGUGUGGCGGAAAGAAAAAAUCGAACUAUCCUCGACAUGGCUCGAAGUAUGCUCAAAAGCAAGAGAUUGCCUAAGGAGUUAUGGGCAGAAGCUGUAGCAUGUGCUGUCUACCUAUCCAAUCGAUCUCCAACAAGAAGUGUGUGGGGAAAGACUCCGCAAGAAGCAUGGAGUGGAAGAAAACCAGGUAUCUCUCAUCUAAGAGUUUUUGGAAUAGCCCAUGUACAUGUACCAGAUGAGAGGAGAGCCAAACUCGACGACAAAAGUGAGAAGUUCAUCUUCAUCGGCUAUGACUCAAAUUCAAAAGGCUACAAGUUGUAUAAUCCAAACAAUGGAAAGACGGUGAUCAGUCGAGACGUGACGUUCGACGAAGAAGAAGAAUGAGAUUUUGGCCCCGCAUGCAGGAGAUCUUCAUUUCUUUCCUCAAUUUGAAGAAGAGAAUGAACAAGGGACGAUGGAGCAAGCAAGAGAGGUUCAACAAAAAUCCACUACUCCACCUACUUCACCAAUAUCAACCAAUCGUGGCAAUUCACCAGCAUCAACAUCAUCAAGUGGGAGCCUAAAUGAAAGAGAAGUACCACGCACAAGAAGUAUACGAGAUCUCUAUGAGGUAGCUGAAAGACUUGAUAAUCCUACACUUUUCUGUCUCUUUGCUGAUUGUGAACCAGUCGACUUCCAAGAAGCAGUACAAGAUACUAAGUGGAGGAAAGCAAUGGAUGAAGAAAUCGAAGCAAUCGAGAAAAAUGAAACAUGGGAACUCACUGUUCUUCCAAAAGGACACAAAGCCAUCGGAGUCAAGUGGGUGUACAAGACAAAGAAAAAUGCCAACGGAGAGGUCGAAAGAUACAAGGCGAGACUAGUGGCGAAAGGUUAUAGUCAAAGAGCCGGAAUCGACUAUGAUGAGGUAUUUGCACCUGUUGCUCGUUUGGAAACGAUACGAUUGCUAAUUUCUUUGGCAGCUCAAAACAAAUGGAAGAUUCAACAAAUGGAUGUGAAGUCCGCCUUCCUAAAUGGAGUCCUUGAAGAAGAAGUCUACAUUCAGCAACCAUCAGGCUAUGAAAUCAAAGGGCAUGAAGACAAGAUUCUGAAGCUGAAGAAAGCCCUCUAUGGGUUAAAACAAGCGCCAAGAGCAUGGAAUAGUCGCAUCGACAAGUACUUCCAAGAAAACAACUUCACCAAGUGCCCUCAUGAACAUGCUCUUUACGUCAAAGUCAAAGAUGGAGAUAUUUUGAUUGUGUGCUUAUAUGUGGAUGAUCUAAUCUUCACUGGGAGUAAUCCAAGCAUGUUUGAAGAGUUCAAGAAAGUGAUGACCAAAGAAUUUGAGAUGACGGACAUCGGGCUAAUGGCAUACUACCUAGGCAUUAAAGUUAAGCAGAGCGAAGAAGGCAUUUUCAUCUCCCAAGAAAGCUACACAAAUGAGAUACUGAAAAAGUUCAAAAUGCACGACUGCAAGCCCAUAAGCACGCCAGUGGAGUGUGGAGUCAAACUAACCAAGCAUGAUGAAGGAGAAAGUGUAGAUCCAACAUUUUUCAAGAGUCUAGUUGGAAGCUUGCGCUACUUGACAUGCACAAGACCAGACAUUCUCUAUGUCGUCAGAUUAGUCAGUCGCUACAUGGAGAAUCCCACAACUACACACUUGAAGACUGCCAAAAGAAUUCUUCGAUACCUUAAAGGUACUAUUAACUUUGGCUUGUUCUAUUCAAGUUCUAGUAACUACAAACUUGUUGGAUAUAGCGACAGUGAUUGGGCAGGAGAUUCUGACGAUAGAAAAAGCACUACUGGAUUUGUGUUCUUCAUUGGAGACACUGCAUUCACAUGGAUGUCGAAGAAGCAACCGAUUGUCACACUAUCUACAUGUGAAGCUGAAUACGUAGCUGUUACCGCAUGUGUUUGUCAUGUAAUUUGGCUGAGAAACUUGCUGACAGAAUUAAGCAUGCCACAAGAAGAACCAACAGAGAUCUAUGUCGACAAUAAGUCUGUAAUAGCUCUAGCAAAAAAUCCAGUAUUUCAUGACAGGAGCAAGCACAUAGAUACCCGCUAUCACUACAUAAGAGAGUGCAUUGCAAGAAAGGAUGUGCAAGUGGAAUACGUGAAGUCUCAAGACCAAAUUGCAGACAUAUUCACUAAGCCACUUAAGCAAAAAGUCUUUAUCAGACUGAGAAACUCAAUCGGCGUCACAAGCAAGAUUAAGAGGGGAUGUUGAAAGGUAAUCUUGCUUCUAGAAUGGCCGGUGCAUGCAUUGAAAAUGCUAGACAAUUCUAGCAUGAAUAUGGCAUGUGUUCAUUAUGUUCAUAAGCAAAGUCUAUGUUGGUGGGCUACUUUAAGAGAAUCAAGAAUAAUGGCUAGGAUGAUUUCACACUUGGUAUUCACACUUGGUAUGGUUGGUUAUGCUUGCCUAUAAAUAUAGGUGAGUGUGUUGUAAUGUAAGAUAUAAGAAGAAGAAAAGAGAAGUGAGAAAGAAGAAGAAGAAGUAAGAGAGACAAGAAGGCUCUCUAAAGUGAGAAUAAGUAGAGAAGCAUUCAUAGCUUCCAAGAGUGUUUGAGUGAUUUCUCUUGUAUUAGUUUGUGUGAGAAUAAGAAAAGUUUUGAGUGUUACCUUGAAUAUUCUUUUUCUCUUGCCUAUCAAUUUCCGCUGUGUUACAUUCUUAUUUGUGAGAUAGACAUCUCCAAAGUAGAGAAGUCUUUUAAAUCCCAACAGGCUGCAGCUGGUGGUGGUUGAAGCUGUGUGUGCGUGCGUUGUCAAUGAUGUAUAACAGAAACACAGAUUGAAUUAGUUGCUUAGGAAUCUUGCUAUCUGUGACUAUACACAAACACAGUACGUGUUGAGCCAAAAUCAUGCAUCCAUCUUGCAUUAACAACAGAUGGCAGAGGCUUGAACGGAACAAAAUGUUGCAAAUAACCAAAAUCAAAGUAUAUCCAAACUGCCACUACAGCGGUUGUUUUUAACCAAGAAAACAUGCCUCCGAUCCGAUUUCAGUAUAGAAGGAAGAAAAAAAAUGAAAUAAAAAUACAGCAUUUAUAAAUUUAUGUGGGUUGAUUAUUAUAAUCUCAGACUUGGCAAUGUAUGUUUUACAGUAUAAUUGAACAUAAAAUAAUGGAAGAGCCUUUACAAGUUAGAAGGAACGAUCCAACGAACGAACAUCAUCUAUAUAUAUAUAUAAAGUGAGAAUCUCAAAUAGGUGAAGCUUUUAAUAUUUCAAUUAUGUCCUCAUUUUGAUAGAGAAAAUAAUUAACAACUACCCAACCAAAUUUCCCAAACCCAAAUUAAAUAAAUCAUACAAUAUAUUGCUAUACACUAACAAAAAGUUCCAGUCUUUAACGUUCAGCAAAAUGAAUGCAUAGCUGAAAGGUUAACAACAAAUUCAUGACGUUGUUUCAUACCUUAUUGACAUUGAGAUCAGUAGGCCAGUAAUGGAUUGUAGAAGUAUUUGAACGUUUCCAAAGAUGAUCCAAAUGAAAUAAGGCCCCCAUUUGUGAUUCUCAAUUUCGUUCAAUUUCCUAAAAAAACUUAGACCGAAAUUGAACUCGGAUGUCAAUUGGGAUAACAUUAUAGUUAAAUGAAUGAUGAUUAAGUCAAACAAUUUACUACCUGGGUAGGGUCGGUGGGCUAAGUACAAAUUUGGUACUUCUUGUUGACCAUUGGAAAUUAUGAGAACUUUCUCGGCGUCUCUGUCGUCGUUUGUGCUUCCGAAUUGCGACAAUGGUGUCCUAUCGUAUGGCCAACAGCAGCACCGAGUAGCCCUCAUAGUCUAUGUGCUCUCUGGUCAAGUUCACUUUCCUUGAAUCCACCGUCCGGUAAAAAACUCAAACACACGCACAAAAUCGAAAAUUGAAAAAAAAAAAAAAACCCCAAAGAUAGAGAUAAAGAGGACCCACCUGAAGAGCGAGCGAAGAGCUGGGCCUUGUCGAGUUGGGAUGAGUGGCCGUAGACGGCUUUGAGGGUAUCGUGAAUUGGUUGGGAUCGGAAGGUUUUCGUGUUUUGCCAUUUGUGCCAUCAACUUGAUUAAACACACACUGAAAGCUCCCCGUGACGGUGACGCAAGCAAACAAAAGCUUUAAGUUAUCUAAUUCGACAAUAUUUAGGAAACUCUUUGAUGAAGACGACGAUGAUUGGAUUAUAUAGGACACUGAAGUGAAUAAAUUCUUGGGUACCUGGAGGACAUGGUAAUGAAGGCGACGGCGGAGGCAGAAGUGAGAGAAGAUUCAGAUGACUGAAUGCUUAGAAGGCUGGAGACUAUUGGUGAUGAGGGCAGCGGAGAAUGAUGCGUUUUGGUACACUGAGCUGUUGGGUUUUAAAACACUUCUCUACUUUGGAGAUGUCUAUCUCACAAAUAAGAAUAUAACAGCGGAAAUUGAUAGGCAAGAGAAAAAGAAUAUUCAAGGUAACACUCAAAACUUUUCUUAUUCUCACACAAACUAAUACAAGAGAAAUCACUCAAACACUCUUGGAAGCUAUGAAUGCUUCUUCUACUUAUUCUCACUUUAGAGAGCCUUCUUGUCUCUCUUACUUCUUCUUCUUCUUUCUCACUUCUCUUUUCUUCUUCUUAUAUCUUACAUUACAACACACUUACCUAUAUUUAUAGGCAAGCAUAACCAACCAUACCAAGUGUGAAUACCAAGUGUGAAAUCAUCCUAGCCAUUAUUCUUGAUUCUCUUAAAGUAGCCCACCAACAUAGACUUUGCUUAUGAACAUAAUGAACACAUGCCAUAUUCAUGCUAGAAUUGUCUAGCAUUUUCAAUGCAUGCACCGGCCAUUCUAGAAGCAAGAUUACCUUUCAACAUGAGCGACUGUUUGAAUUUCUCUCCUGUUUGCAGGGAUGGAGUGACCCGUUGCUCACUUUAAACGUGCAGUAUAUGGCAGUUCCAUCUCUGCAAUUUGCAACCGAUGCAAGUUCUGUGGAGAGUUACAUCUUUGCAGUUUGCAACUGCAAGUCUGCAACUGCUGUGGAGAGUUCCAUCUCUGCAGUUUGCAACCGCUGCAACUGCUGUUAAGAGUUCGUGCUUCGUGCCAUUCUAAAGUAUUUUUUUCCUUUAUUUAUUUAUUUAUUUACUUCUUGUUUUCUGUAUAGCAGAAAGAUAGAAUGUGACGAAGUAGUUAUAGGAUGAUUAAUUUAAGGGAUGAUAAAGAAUUUAAAGUGUAUGUGUUUUCAUCUAGUGAUUCAUAUUGUCAUUGUUGUGAUGGGUGCAUAUAUUGUUUGCAGUGGAUAAUUUUGUUUUUCAACUUGUAAAUGAUUUAUAAAUAGUAACAUAUUUACGAAUUUGACCCUUUUUUUGUGAGCGGUUAUCCGUGUGCUUUAUGUAUGAAAUGAGGGCAUUCUUGGUAUUUUCGAAUGCUUCACCAAACUGGGCUUCUCCCAAUAUAUACAAAUGAAUGAUGAUUCCCAUAUUAAAAGCAAUAUAUGAAAUUUGCUUCUGCAGAUACGCCAUAAUGGAUCAUCACUUUUGCUUCGAGGUGGGCGUCUCUUGCAACAAUAUGCUGUAGAUAACUACAUUAAAAUUGAAUCACAAAAACUUCGAUGGCUGCGUUCUAAUCAAGCCACAGUUAGAGCGGAUCUCUAUAAAGGACUUCAAGACUCUUUAAAUGCAGGUCAACACAAUGCAGGUAUAUAUAUCAUUUCAGUUAUCGUUAUUUAAAAUAUAACUUUGUUCAAAAUCUGUACAAUAUAUAUAGUUAAUUGAAAAUAAAAAAUUAACAGGUAGCAUUGGGCGUAGAAUUAUUUUACCAUCAUCAUUUGUUGGAAGCCCACGUGACAUGUACCAACGAUAUCAAGAUGCAAUGACUCUGGUUCAAAGAUUCGGAAAGCCAGAUCUUUUUAUUACCAUGACAUGUAACCCAAGUUGGGAAGAAAUCAAAAGUGAAUUACUCGCUGGACAAACUCUACAAGAUCGUCCUGACUUACUUACUAGAGUAUUUCGUGCAAAACUUGAGCAACUAAAAGAAGACAUCAUUGAAAAGGGGGUACUGGGCAAUGUUGUUGCCUACGCAUACGUUAUUGAGUUUCAGAAACGUGGUCUUCCACAUGUGCAUAUGCUGGUGGUGUUAGAUGAAAAUGAUAAGAUCAAUAACCCAGAUGAGUAUGACCGAAUUGUUAGAGCUGAAAUACCAAACGAAGACGUAGAGCCUCAACUUUACAAUGUGGUGUUAAAGCAUAUGAUUCAUGGCCCGUGUGGGAUUCAUAAUUCUCAAUCUUCAUGUAUGAAAAAUGGGAGCUGUAAGAGAAAGUAUCCCAAACCAUUUGCACCAGACACUGUUCAAGGGAAUGAUUCGUAUCCAAUUUAUCAAAGGCGAGGAAAUCGAUUGGCUCUUCUCUCUAUGUCGACAAGGGGAAACAUAAUGUGUUGAGAAUUAGGUUUGGGUGAUUCGAUAUAAAAUGUUGCUUUUUUAAGGUAUGAUUGUCAUUCAAUGUUGAAUUAAUGAAGCAAUAAAAAGUUGUCAAGUACUUAUAAAAGUUUGUUACAUACAAAGGCCACGACAAGUGACCAAAUCGAGUGCCAACAACCCUGAUACCGUGAAAUAAAAAGUUUCAGGAUGCAACCUUAGCCAGAGGCUUAAAAGAAAGAAGUGGUCUAAACCCAACUAAUCGUAACAAGGUUCCUAAUAACAUAUGUUCGAGUUCGUCCGACAUUGGCAUAAUUAAUAUUCUUAAUGAUGAGAGUUACAAGAAAGACAAUGUUAAUGAAUUUUUAUAUUAUGCACCAAUUAAUUUAUGAUGCAUCCACAAGCGCGAACUCCGUUAUACCAUGGGAAAUCCCAUCCAAACAGAAAAUGGAUUCAGCUCAAAAAAUUGGUCUAUAGCAUGAAAUCGUUAACAAGGUUCAUUGGACGAAUAUAUUGCAGUUUCACCUGCAUCUCAAGGUGAAAAUUUUUACCUUCGGAUUCUUCUUAAUCAUGGUUAGCGGGACUAACAUCUUUCCACAAACUUGAGAAUUUUAAGGCAGUUCGAUGGGCGAACGUUAGGAAAUGAUAUUGACUUGCCAUUUUGGGGGGUCAAAAAUUUGAUUAUAUUGGGGGAAGAAAAAAAAUUUUUUUUCGACAAGUUCUUUCCCUGUUAUCCGGAAAGAACCAAGUCUGAACUAAUCCAAGCAAAGUGUUGUUAAGGCAAUGGUCAUUUUGGAACGGUAAGAUUUUAAAACAUCAACAAAACAUUAAGAGUCCAUAAAUGAUUCGUGAAUUUUCAGAAUUUUUACUUACCAUUUGGGGGAAAAUAAUGUAUUUGGGGAGAUUUUCGACAAGUUCUUCCUGUUAUCCGGAAAGGAACCAAGUCUGAACUAAUCCAAGCAAGUGUUGGUUAAGGCGUCAUUUUGUCACAGGUAAGAUUUUAAAACUCAAACAAAACAUGAGAUCCAUAAAUGAUCGUGAAUUUUCAGAAUUUUUACUUCGUGUUGGUGAUGGGAAUGAAGAUGUUAUUAUGGAUGAUAUGGUAAAACUAUAUGAAUGCAUGGUGAUACCAUGGGAGAGUGAGCAUUCCAUUAAUCAAUUAAUUGCCAAAAUCUUCCCUGACUUAGAGGAUCAUAUGAAUGAUGCAACCUACAUGGUUGAAAGGGCAGUGGUAACUCCUACAAAUGAAGACGUUGAUAUGUUAAAUAAAAAGAUAAUGAAUAUGUUUCCAGGUUUAGAAGAGACAAUGUAUUCAUUUGAUUCAGUUGAGGAUGAUGAAAGGAAUUUGUAUCAACCAGAGUUCUUGAAUUCAAUCUCACUUGGUGGUUUGCAUCCGCACAAGUUAACUCUGAAAAGAGGUGCUCCAAUCAUGCUUUUAAGGAAUAUUGAUCCGAAAUUGGGAUUGUGUAAUGGUACAAGAUUAUUGUGUCGUGGUUCUUACCGAAAUCUUAUUGAUGUUGAAAUUCUAACUGGACAAUUUGCCGGAUCCAGAGUUUUCUUACCAAGAAUCCCUCUCAAAAGUACUGAUAUUGCUGGGCUUCCAUUUGAACUUACAAGAAAGCAGUUUCCAGUGAAACUAAGUUUCUCUAUCACUAUAAACAAAUCUCAAGGUCAGACAAUACCACAUGUAGGCGUUUACCUUCCAGAUCACGUCUUUAGUCACGGACAAUUUAUAUGUGGCUUUAAUCGGGGGUCUCAAAGUCAACCACAACUGUGUUAGUAAAAAAAUGGCUCAUAGUCGGCAAACAGGUGUAUUUACACGUAGUAUGUAGUAUACAAAGAAGUCUUGCUUCCUUAAUUCCAGCUUAAUAUGGUGAUCACUCCUCUAGGUGAACAAACCGAUUAACAAUAACAUUUGAAUAUGCAUUUAUCACUUGUUAUUUAACUCUUUUUAUUUGAUUUUUUUUCAAAUUUUUUUUCCUCCCCCAACUUUAAUCAUUUGCCAAUUGGGCAAUGCAAUUUUGAAAUACAUUAAAAUCAGGAAAAAAAACUAACACAAUACAGCCUCAAUUUUAUAGCCAGGCGGUGAAAAAUGUACAAAAUACCUCUCGCACGCACGUUAAGUUAACGUGCUGAGAGGCAUAGUAUAUAAUAAAGUGAGAAAGUCUCAAUAUAGGUGAAGCUUUUAAUAUUUCAAUUAGGUACUCAUUGAAUAUAGAAAGAAUAAUUAACAACUACCCAAGGAUAGGGACCCAAAAAAUAGGGACAAAAUAGAAAUUAAACAAUUAAAUUCCACACGUUUGGCAAAUCAGUUUUUUCUCAAAUUGUUGGAUUUCCUUGCCGAGGAGGAUAGGAGGAGGUCAUUCCAUCAGUUUAUAUCUCAAACUGCAGGUGGGCGGGGCGGGGUGGACGUACGAGAAUAGAAUUUAGUUUACAGUGGCUGUACUUGACGGACUGGGAGACUGCAGCCGUGGUGGUUUGAAUGUUGAAUAUUAUCGGUCACCUCAUACAUUCCAGCUCAUGCAAUAAGGUUAGUUAUGGGUGGAUGUAUCAAAUUAGUAUAGUUAAAUAGCCAUUAGGUGUAAGCAUUGUUAUGUUGGAUUAUUUGUUGGUAUUACACAUAGUUUAAAAGAGUGUCUUAGUAUCAAUGUAUCUAAUUACUUGAUCUCUUUCUCUUCUUCCCUUCUCUCUCUUCUAUUCGAUAGAAUGCAGUUUCUGCUUUCUGUGUCUUUCUACAUUGAAUAUGGGAUCGCAUGAUUUAUACUUCGCUCGUUCUAGUGAUGGGUCUGCUUGCAUGCCAUGGUUAAGGCUGGUGAGGAGCAGCAGAGCUAGGAGUAUAUGGAACAGACAUGGACUUCCUAAGUUCUUACAUUGUCUGCAUCGUUUGUUGUCUCCAACUGAUAGCCCUUUUUGUUUGAGGGGGGAUGUUUGGCCGACCACCCUCAUCAUUCCAGCUCAUCAAUAGUUUUAGUUAUUGGAGUCUGUUGUAUCAUUAAAAGUUUAUUCAUAGCUAUUGGUUUGUAAGCUAGUAUGAUUGGCUAGUAUAAACUGUAAUUCUCAUAGUUGAAAGAAUUAAUUCAAAGAUCAAUGUAAUCAAAAAGAAAACAGUAGCUACAGAGGUGUAGAAAUCAGUUUGAGGGGCUGAAAUUCUUUGGGAAGUUGAUGGAUGAGUAUGAAAUUGCAUCGUUCUUAAGUAAUUUUCAAUGCUUGCAAGCCAUGGAGGAUUAAUUGGUGAGGAGCAGCAGAGCUAGGAGUAUAUGGACAAGAAGGACUUCCUAAGUUCUACAUUUCUCAAAGCACUCAUUCAAUCUCCAACUGGGAAACCCAGUUGAGAUUGAGGGGGGAUGUUGAAUAUAUCGGUCCACCUCAUCAUUCCAGCUCAUCAAUAGUUAGUUAGGCUGUUAUCAAAUUAGUUAGUUAAAUAGCUUAGGUUGUAAGCUAGUUAUGAUGGCUAUAUAAACUGUAUUCUCAUAGUUGUAAAGAUUAAUUCAGUAUCAAUGUAAUCAAUUACUUUCUCUCUUUCUCUUCUUCCCUUCUCUCUCUUCUUCUUCGAUACAUGCUCUUUCUGCAUUUCUGUGUCUUUCUACAUUUCUGUUAAUAGUUGAAGCUAUCUGUCUGUGCGUGGGUGGGUGCGUGCGUUUUCAAUGAUGUAUAACGCAAACACAGAGAUUGAAUUAGUUGCUUAGGAAUCUAGCUAUCUGUGACUAUACACAAACACACUACGUGUUGAGCCAAAAUCAUGCAUCCAUCUUGCAUUAACCAAAAUCAAAGUACAUCCAAACUACCACUACAGCGGUGGUUUUUAACCAAGAAAGCGUGCCUCCGAUCCAAUUCAUUAUAAAAGGAAAAAAAAAUGAAAUAAAAAUACAGCAUUUAUAAAUGGGAGUUUUAACGAAAAGCCUGCGGUACUGUUCAUUUUAACAAAAAACCACAUUUUUACAUUAAAAAGUUAAACUUGGUACUAUUCAUCUUUUAUUUUGUCCUUAUCGUUAAAAGUCAAAGUUUUCAAACCAUUUUCAUUAGUUUUUCUUUUAUAAAUUUAUGUGGGUUGAUAAUCAUAAUCUCAGACUUGGCAAUGUAUGUUUUACAAGUAUGAUUGAACAUAAAAUAAUAAUAAUGAUGAUAAAAAGGAGAUGUCUGAAUAAGAAAACUAAUGAAGAGGACUUGAAAACUUUGAGUUUUAAUGAUAAUAACAAAAUAAAGGGUAAAGUGAAUAGUACCAGGUUUGACUUUUUAGUGUAAAAAUGUGGUUUUUCGUUAAAGUGAACAAUAUCGUGGGCUUUUCGUUAAAACUCCCUUAAAUUAAUGGAGACGAAAGAGCCUUUACAAGUUAGAAGGAACGAAUGAACCAACAUCAUAAAAAUUAAAAGAAAGAGAAAGAAAAAGACAAAACCAACGGUAAAACCCAGAAACAAAACAAGUCCACCAAAGCCCCCUAACCCUAACAACAAGGUUUCUAUCAGAGGAAAGGAGGGCGCCGCCCCUGGCAAUGGUCUUUCUCUCUCUUAACCUUCAGUUGCUGCUUAACCUUCAGCUGUUACUGAGAAGAAGAGAGAGAGAGAGGACACCAUUCAAGGCGGCAGAGAAGAGGCUGGGCAACAAUUGUUUGGGGUAUUUCUCUUUCGACCAAACCCUAGUUGAGUAGUUAGCUAGGGCUUUCCUUUUCCCCCGAUAUAUGAUUCUCUGUCUUUGUCUGUUGUUAGUUCUCACUUUUAUCCUUCUUGCAGGGGCAGUCUAGUGCGGAGAAACAAACAAAAAAACACAAUGGGGCUGCUAGUCUAACAGCUUCCUUGCCGACAUGAGCCAGAGCAAAUUAUGGGGUAUGGUGACACUCCCCUCCCCUCGUAUUUAUUUCAUUUAUUUACUAACUAACUACUUAAGGGAUAAUUAAUUUGAUUUGUUUCAUUUAUUUUUCAAUACUAAGGUAAUUAAUAUUUGAUGCAUAUCGGAUGUCCUCCUUUGUUAUAUAUUGGACUAGAUUAUUGAAACGAAUCCAAGUGGAUUGGAUUGAUCUCUAAACUUAUCAACCCAUACUUAGGGAUCCCUAUUGAAAUUCAAGUUAUGUUACAAGCAAAAAGAAGAUAUAAAACUCUUGUGUCCACCCCAACCAACUUACUUGGGUCCGGCUAGCAUAAAGAAAACCUAUCAAUUCCAAUUCCAAUCCCAAUCCCAAUCCCACUUAAAUUGGUGGUAGGCAAGGUUCUAAAAAUCGCUAGGCGCUAGUUGGGCGGUGGGCAUGGGCCUAGCGCUUAGACGGCUAGGGGGCCUAGGGGGAUUUAUGUAAAUUUAUUAUAUAUCUUGUAAUUAAGUGCCUAUUUACACCUAAAAAAAAACUAUAUGCAAAUUAGGUACACCAUUUCCAUAAGUACUGGAUUAACUUGUAGUAAAUCCAUCAUUUGCAAAUUAGGUACACCAUUUUCAUAAGUAUACCACCAUGAAACCAAAAAAGAAAAAAGCACACAAUUAAUAAAAAAAAAAAUAUAAAACCCCUAGGACCGCCUAGCUACCGCCUAGGCGCCGCCUAGGGCUGCCUAGCUUCUAGCCGAUUUUUCCAAACUCCUUGCCCAAAAUCGGGACGGAGGCGGCGCCUAUGCCGAUUUUUAGAAAAGUGGUGGUAGGGUAGGAGAAAGGGAGAUAACAUGAUAAAUAGUAGGGAUCAUUCUUCAACUAUCUUCAAUAUCUACCUUCAACUUGUAGGCUUCCCCGUUCUAAUCCAUAUCCCUAGAGACGACCAAACAAGGCCUUGAAGUAACGUUUUAGCUACCGGUUUUGAUUUAUGUUCUUAUCAAAUGAAAUGAAAUGAAAUAAAUUAAACCCUAAUUUUAUUGUUUUAGAGUCCGUUACGUUGCCUCUUCCUCCCUCCAUUGCCUUCUCUCUUGUCAAUUCUUCCUUUUUUUUUUAUUCCUCAGAUUGUCGUCCAUGUCCAUUCGUUCUUAGUGAUGAAUUAUCAUCACAAGCCAGCUUUGUUGAUAACUUGGGGGAUAAUAGGUUGCACUCUCAUGUCAUUAACUAUUGUUUGCUUAAUUUUAAUGAAGAUGAGUAUUGAUGCAUUAUCUUAUUUAUCAUAUUUGAAGGAGAAUAUAUAGGUUCAAAGUGAAUUGGUUAGAUGUGAUCCAAAAGGAUGUUCACAGUCAAGGAGUAGAACAUACAUGUCACUACAACAAAAGUAAUCAUUACCGACAAAGAUUUUCCGACGGCCCAAAAAAACCGUCGUAAAAAGCACAUUUUGCGACCAUAAAAUAUAGGCGUCGGUAACAUGACAUGAAACAAAUUUUUAUUACCAACGCACACAAUGUCCUCGGAAAAAGUCUCAAGUUUCGUCGGAAAUGCACUUUUGUUUGGUGGGAAGAAUUGGCGCCAGUUGUAUUAACGACGAGUAAAGUUCUUAUCGGAAAUAUAAUGGUUAUUUACGAAGAUUUACUCAUUUUGACGAAAUUGAUUUAGUAUUUUUGAGGGAAAAAAAGUCCUCUUGGUAAUGUUUUUAUAUUUUUGAGGGAAAAAAAGUUCUCUCGGUAAUGCUUUUAUAUUUUCGAGGGUGAUUAGUUGUUGUCAGAAGUAAUUAUAUUUUUUUCGACGAAAUUUUUUUUCUUUGUCAGAGUAAAUUUUUAAGGCAUGGUUUUGUGGGAAUCAAUUAUUUACCAAUGGUCACAUGUGUAUUCUUCAAACAAGUUUGAUGCUUAAUUUAAAUUGAAGAUCGAAUUUGUUCAUUGUACUCUUUAUAGGGUUGAGGAGUGUAUUUAUAAAAAAUCAUCAAAAUUUGAGUUAUAAUAACAGUUAAAUCGUGAGCUUUCGUUUAUAACCGUCGAAAUGUUUCGUCUCGUUACCUAAUAUCUGAAUGUCAGUUUUGCGAUUUUUUACGUAUGCAAUCUUGGAGCAUAUACAAACAAGUUUGACGGUUAGAUCGUUGAAACUAGUUUUGUAGAAUGGGUAAUCCUUCAAAACGAUAGAUUCAACAAACACUUGGAGUUUAUUUUAUACUUCUAUUAAGUAGAACAUAAUAUUUUGUGGUAUCCACUAGUAAAAUUUUUUAAAUUGGAGAUCGAAUUCGUUCAUCGUACUCUUAUAGGGUUCAGGAGUGUAUUUGUAAAAAAUCAGCAAAAUCGGAGUUAAAAUAACCGUUAAAUCGUGAGUUUUCAUUUAUAACCGUUGAAAGGUUUCAUCCCAUUAACCUCUUCACAAAAGUUGUUGAGCUUGAUAUUACGAGUGUUUGUAGAUUUUUUUUUUGUACUUCUACAUUAAUUAAAAAAACUAUUAAAAAUCAGAACAAGACAUACUUCUACAUUAAUAAUCAUAGGAUUUAAUCUCACUUAUGUGAGAUUAAAUCCUUACCGUGUGUUUUGGAGAGCUGUCAAAAUUUUGGCAUGGCGCCUUUUAUUUUUAGCUCUCUAUUUUCAAAACUUUGGCAUGGCGCCUAAAAACUUAACUCUCUAUUUCCAAAGACAACACCGAUUAUCCCUUUCUCACAGCUUCUCUAUAUUUCCUCUUCAGAAACAAAACCCUAGCCUCCAUCCUCCAUUCUCUAGUAGCCAUACGUGAUGAUGAUAGAAACCAUGAAAUCCUCACACAUGUUGUUUUUCAGUUUAUAUCUUAUGAGGUCUGACAUAUAUAUUUUCAGGUCUCGCCUAGAUUUGAGAUUUGGAAGCAGAAAACGAGAAGGCUAAGAGGAUGGUGAAGGACGUGGCAACUUACUUCUCUAUGACUUUGGGUGCUUUUGUGUUCUGGCAAUCCAUGGAUGAAGUCCACGUCCGGACGAAAAGGCAAUCAAAGGUAAAAUAAUUGACUUAAUUGUUUUAAAUUAGAAUAAAGUACCCUAAAACUUCGAAGUUAAUCUUUUAUCGUUCAAUUUAUUUCAUUCUAUGCAAUGAAUCUUCAUUAUGCCUUAAAUUCUAUACGUAAGAUAGUUGGGCAAUACAUGGCAUUUAGGCUUGUUUGAGUAGCAUUGGGGUUUGGAAAUGAAAAGAAGCAGCACAUUUGUUUUGGUGAUGUGGGGUUCUUUCUUAAUUGGGUUUCAGCUUUUUAACUUUCUCUCUCUUGAUAGAUUAAUGCGUUUAAUAAUGUUAGAUAUGUUAUAUAUACACAGGACUGAGGCUCGUGCUGGUAAUGCAUAUGAGGGAGCUAGAUAUGAGGCUAUGAGUAAGAGCGGAAAGCUGGCAAGUGGUGAUAGUGCCUCCAGGAGAAUGGAAACUACUACUACUAGUGUUGUUUCUUCUCUUAUUUCUCAUUAUAAUGGGUUGUCACUUGGAAGCAACAAAAGCGGAGGAGCAUUUGAUACUUGUAGUUAAUGCGGAAGUUGUUGGAAGGUAAGUUUUCUUGUGUAUUUUUAGUAUUUGAUAACUGAGUGAAAACAACAUUUUCUUUUCUUUUCUAAUCCAGAUGAGUCAUGUUUUGUUUAUGCAGUGUACAAAGGAAAGCCAUCGUCUUGUGGAUCGUAGGAUGGCGGAGAUAUGGAAUUUUAAAGAGCAACACAUGUAUUGUUUUCUUUUAGCAUGUGUUGCUCUUUAAAAUUCCAUAUCUCCGCCAUCCUACGAACUACAAGAUGACGACCUUCCUUUGUACACUGCAUAAACAAAACAUGACUCAUCUGGAUUAGAAAAGAAAAGAAAAUGUUGUUUUCACUCAGUUAUCAAAUACUGAAAAUACACAAGAAAACUUACCUUCCCACAACUUCCGCACUGACUACGAGUAUCAGAUGCUCCUUCACUUUUGUUGCUACCAAGUGACAACCCAUUAUAAUGAGAAAUAAGAGAAGAAACAACGCUAGUAGUAGUAGUUUCCAUUCUCCUAAAGGCACUAUCACCACUUGCCAACUUUCCACUCUUACUCUCAGCCUCAUAUCUAGCACUAUGCAUUACCAGCACGAGCCUCUGUCCUGUGUAUAUAUAACAUAUCUAACAUUAUUAAAUGCAUUAAUCUAUCAAGAGAGAGAAAGUUAAAAAGCUCAAACCCAAUAAAGAAAGAACCCCACAUCACCAAAACAAAUGUGCCACUUCUUUUCAUUUCCAAACUCCAAUGCCACUAAAACAUGCCUAACUGCCAAGUAUAGAAUUUAAGGAAAACUAAUAAAAAUGACUUAAAAACUUUGAGUUUUAACGAUAAUGACAAAAUAAAGGAUAAAGUGAAUAGUACCAGGAUUGACUUUUUAGUGUAAAAAUGUGGUUUUUUAUUAAGGUGAACAGUACUGGGAGCUUUUCGUUAAAAUUCCCUAAAAUUUAAGGCAUAAUGAAGAUUCAUUGCAUAGAAUGAAAUAAAUUGAACGAUAAAAGAUUAACUUCGAGGUUUCAAGGCACUUUAUUAUAAUUUAAAACAAUUAAGUCAAUUAUUUUAACUUUGACUGCCUUCAGAGAUAACUUGGUGGUUGGUAACAUUGCCAUCCGCGGUUACGUACACUUUUCUCUCCUUGUCAAAUGUUGGGAAUGCAAUGUGGUGGAUAUAAGGGAGUGUCAUUCCUUUAUAAUAUACCCCAAUCAUUGCCUCAUGGAUUGCUGAUGCACCAAAUACACCCACAUUGGGAGCCUCAUCCCUCUUCCUUUUCUUCAACCCAAAGCCAGUGAUAUUUUCUUCAUAUGUUCCCCACCCAAGAAGUGUCGGAACAUGGGUAUGGGCCUUGCAAGGCUCAUCUAGCGACGGCACGUAGACUCCGUGCUUGUAAUUGCGGAAUUGUUGAUCUAUUGAGAUAAUGUGAACAAUGGAGGGAUGCGUUAGAAGCGCCUUCAUCAUUUGCAUCUCAAUAGCCCUCUGAUUAACAUUGAUAUUGGGCACCCGCAUUCGAUUAGACAUAGAAAUAUCGGGUGUAAUUGGAAUUUGCUGGAUGAACCAUUUAAAACUAUGGAUCACAGCUUUGACUUCUCUUCUCUCUGGUCAAGUGUUUGUGUGGGUAUGCAUGAAUAGUUUUUUAUUUUCGAGCCCCCCAAUCUUAUUCAACAAGUGUCCCCUUCUUCGACUCGCCAAAAGUUUUCCAACAUUAUAUCGUGUUCACUUAUGAAUUGAAAGCAAUCUACUGGCCUAGACUCACUAGCAGACUGAUAAGCUAAUAUGAUAGCUAUCAUCUCAAUUUUUUCACAUGAAGAGGAUGAACCAAUGUCCUUGCCAGUGUGUGGUUCUACUUCAAAUAUGUAGGGCGCACCAACAUGGAGUGCCAAGUCUCUCACAGAGACCCUUGGUCUAACCCUGUAUUUGUAAGCCAGGGCGGCCUCCAUUGUCUGUGCGACUGCAUGAGCAACACAUGUAUGUUAUACUCCUUGACUACGAACAUCCUUUUGGAUCAUAUCUAACCAAUUCACUUUGAACCUAUAUAUUCUCCUUCAAAUAAGAUAAUGCAUCAAUACCCAUCUUCAUUAAAAUUAAGCAAAAAAUAGUUAAUGACAUGGGAGUACAACCUAUUAUCCCCCAAGUUAUCAACAAAGCUGGCAUGUGUUUGUUGAAUUAUGGCCAAACACCUUUCGGCUAAUUAACAAACCAAAAGAAAAAAAAGGUGAAAGACAUCAUGAUGAGGAGACAUCAUGAUGAUGUUUUUUUUCUUUUGUGGUUUUUUUUAUUAACCAUAAUUAUUUGGUUUUCGGGUAGAAGAAAGGAGGAGAAGAAGAGAGAGCUCAUUUUUUUUGUCAGAAAUAGAGCUCAUGAGCUGCCUAGAGCAGGAGAGUUGCAGAGAGCCCAAACAGAAAAAAGAAGCUGCUGCUUCAUUUGGUUAGUAAUCAUUCACCAAAAUAGUUGUUGUUGUAAUAACUUUGAGCUAUAUGUAUAGAGAAGAAAUUAUUCAUUAUAUUUCUUUCUCUAUUUGUUUAUGUGGUGUGUGAGAGCUAUUGGGUGUAUUGGGUUAUUUGGGUUGUGAGAUUGCCAACACUCUGUAAACUCCCAUUUGGUUGAUAGUGGAUUAUUGGGUGAGCUCCUACAGCUCCGAGGACGUACUCCAGUUACACUGACUGUUGAGGAACCUCGUUAAAAUCCUGGUGUCUUUAAUAUUUUGUUCUUGCAUUUUCAUUUGAUAAAUUUCCUGUGGGUUAGCUUGAGUUGGUUCCAACGGGUUUGGUGCUAUCCUAGCACAACAAUUGGUAUCAGAGCACUAGUUGCUCUUGGGUACUGUCUAGUUGCCAAAGAUGUCAGACGGGCAAGAUGAAAAUCCUUUGGGAAGCAGCUCCGGGUUUGCAAGAACUACGGUGCAAAAUCCAAAGUUCGAAGUGGAAAAGUUUGAUGGCACAAACAACUUCGGAAUGUGGCAAUGUGAGGUCAAAGAUGUGUUGGCUCAACAAGAUCUACUUACCGCUUUGGGAGAGAAGCCAGAAGCUAUGUCGAAGCCGGAAUGGGAGAAAUUAAAUUUGUGGGCUUGCUCUUCAAUUCGGUUGUGCCUUGCAAAAACUCAGAAGUAUUUUGUGAUGCGGGAGACGGUAGCAAGUGUGUUGUGGCAAAAAUUGGAAGACAAGUAUAUGACGAAGAGUGCAGAGAACCGACUACACUUGAAGAAAAAGCUCUACCGCUUCCAAUACAAAGAAGGUACAAAAAUGAUUAGACACCUUGAUGCUUUUAAUAAGUUGAUUGCCGACUUGUUAAAUUUAGAUGAGGAUAUUAAGGAUGAAGAUAAGGCCUUAAUAUUGUUGAAUUCAUUGCCGGACUCUUAUGAGCAUUUUGUUACCACUAUUAUGCAUGGUAAAGAAACUGUGAAAUUUGAAGAUGUGUCAAAUGCCUUGAUGAAUUAUGAAAUGAGGCAUAGAGAUAAAAAUCAUGAUAGUACCUCUGAAGCUUUAUUUGUUAGAGGUAGAUCAUCGGAGAGGAGGUCAUCUUCUAGCAGGAAAAAAUCACAGUCUCGACCUAGAGGAAACUCUAAAGGUAGAAAACCUUUGGAAAGGGAUGAAUGUGCCUUUUGUCGUAAUAAGGGCCAUUGGAAGAAAGAUUGUCCUAAAUUGAAGACCAAAGGCAAAGAAAGUUCUGAAGCUAAUGUUGCUGAGGUUGAAACAAAUUUUUUCUGAUUUUGCUUUAACCACUUCCUCAUCAUCAUUUGAUUGUGCUACUAAGUGGGUGUUGGAUACGGGUUGUACUCAUCAUAUGACUCCUCACAAGGAUUGGUUUUCAAGCUUGAAAGAGUUUGAUGGUGGCGUUGUGUUUCAUGGGAGAUGACAAUCCUUGCACAACAAAAGGGAUUGGUACAGUUCGUUUGAAGUUGCAUGAUGGCAUGGUUAAAGAGUUGACAGGUGUUCGGUAUGUACCGAAUUUGAAGAAAAAUAUUAUUUCUUUGGGUACUUUGGAAUCCAAGGGCUUCAGGUUUCAUUCAGAUGGACAGACAUUGAAAGUUACUUAUGGUGCACUUGUUGUGAUGAAAGCUCCUAGAUGUGGCCAUUUGUAUUUAUUGCAGGGAAGCACUGUGACAGGUGAAGCAUCUGUAGUCUCUAAAAAUAUGGGCACAUCUGAUUCAGAUACUACUAGAUUGUGGCAUAUGAGAUUAGGCCAUGUCGGUGAGAAAGCUCUACAAGGGCUUGUGAAAAAAGGUCUUCUAAAAGGUGCCACGACUUGUAAGCUUGAUUUCUGCGAGCAUUGUGUCUUGGGGAAGCAAACUAGAGUGAAGUUUGGUACUGCUGUACAUCAGACGAAUGACAUUCUUGAUUAUGUGCAUUCGGAUGUUUGGGGUCCUACAAAGACUCCAUCUUUGAGUGGUAGACAUUGGUUCGUGACCUUGGUUGAUGAUUAUUCAAGAAGGUCUUGGGUUUACACUAUGAAGCACAAGAGUGAGGUAUUGAGCAUUUUCUUGAGUUGGAAUAAAAUGGUUGAGAACCAGACUGGGAGAAAGAUUAAGAUUUUGAGAUCGGAUAAUGGUCGUGAAUACACAUCCGACCCUUUCUUUAAAGUUUGCAAAGAGGAAGGAAUUGUGAGACAUUUUAGUGUUCGGGGAACUCCACAACAAAAUGGAGUUGCAGAAAGAUUGAAUCGAACCUUGCUUGAGAAGGUUAGAUGUAUGUUGUCUCAGUCGGGUUUAAGCAAGUCAUUUUGGGCAGAAGCAGUUAAUUAUGCAUGUCACAUCAUCAACAGGUUACCCUCAGCUGCUGUUCAGGGUAAGACACCAAUGGAGGUAUGGACUGGAAAACCUUCUUCUGAUUAUGACUAUAUCCGUAUUUUUGGUUCACCUGCUUAUUUUCAUGUGACUGAAAAUAAACUUGAUCCUAGAGCCAAAAAGGCUAUCUUUCUUGGUUUUAGUAGUGGUGUCAAAGGUUACAGGUUGUGGUGUCCAGAGAUGAAGAAACUGGUAAUUAGUAGAGAUGUGACAUUUGAUGAAGAAAGUAUGUACAAAGGCUCUGAGAAUAAUGUGAAAGAUGUCCAACAGGUGGAGUUUGAGAAAGUUGCCUCUGGUACUUCAAAUCCUAUUUCCGCUGAUGUCGAAGCCACUACAAGUGAAGAAGUUGGAGACCAUGAGGAUGUUGAAGAAGUCGAACUUGAAGAUUCUAUUCAAGUUGAAGAGGAAGUUUCACCUCAAGAGUCUAUUGCCAAGAAUAGAGGAAAGAGACAAAUUACCAAGCCAGCUCGGUAUAGUGACUAUGUUUCUUUUGCUCUUCCUAUUAUCACUGAUGAGAUUCCAUCCAAUUUUGAGGAAGCUAUUGAGAGUGAAGAAAAGAAGAGGUGGUGCAAUGCCAUGGGUGAUGAGAUGAAUUCUCUCUUGAAGAACAAGACUUGGGAGUUAGCUAAAUUGCCUAAGGGCAAGAAAGCUAUCGGUUGCAAAUGGGUGUAUGCCAAGAAGGAAGAUGCUGAUGAGAAAAGCAAUGUGAGAUUCAAAGAAAUAUUAGUUGCUAAAGGGUAUGCACAAAAGGAGGGCAUUGACUACAAUGAAAUAUUUUCUCCGGUUGUGAAACACUCCUCAAUUCGCAUUAUGUUAGCUCUUGUUGCACAGUAUGAUCUUGAGCUUGUGCAACUUGAUGUGAAGACGGCUUUCCUACAUGGUGAUUUGAAUGAAGAGAUUUAUAUGUGUCAACCAGAUGGGUAUAUAGUGAAAGGGAAGGAGAAUUUGUUUUGCAAAUUGAAGAAAUCACUUUAUGGCUUGAAGCAAUCUCCAAGACAAUGGUAUUUGAGGUUUGAUAAAUUUAUGAGAGGCCAAAAUUAUUCUAGAAGUCAAUAUGAUCAUUGUGUGUACUUCAAGAAGUUGCAAGAUGGGUAUUUCAUUUAUUUGUUGAUAUAUGUUGAUGAUAUGUUGAUUGCCUCAAAGAAUGUCGAAGAGAUUGAGAAAUUGAAAAAGCAAAUGAAGAAUGAGUUUGAGAUGAAGGAUCUUGGUGAAGCAAAGAAGAUCCUUGGCAUGGAGAUCACUAGAGAUAGAGCAAAGGAUUUCGUCAGUUUGAAUCAAAGACAAUACCUUAAGAAGUUGAUUCGGAAGUUUGGAGUUCAUGAUUCAACCAAACCGGUUAGUACCCCUUUGGCUCCUCAUUUUAAAUUGAGUUCUCUACAGUGUCCUAAAACUGAUAAAGAGAAGCUGCAAAUGAAAAAUAUACCAUAUGCAAAUUUGGUUGGUAGUUUGAUGUAUGUAAUGGUAUGCUCUAGACCGGAUAUUGCUCAUGCAGUUGGCAUGGUGAGUCGAUAUAUGCAUAAUCCAGGUAAAGAGCAUUGGCAAGCAGCUAAGUGGAUAUUGAGGUAUCUCCAUGGUACUCGAGAUGUUGGUUUAUGCUUUGAGAGAGAUGACUCUGGUAUUGGUCAUUUUGCAGUUGGUUGUGUUGAUUCAGAUUAUGCAGGUGAUCUGGAUGGAAGGAAGUCUACUACAGGCUAUGUGUUUACUAUGGCUAAAGGGCCAGUUUGUUGGAGGUCCAUUUUGCAGUCGUCUGUUGCCUUGUUUACUACAGAGGCUGAAUAUAUGGCAGUUGCUGAAGCUAUAAAGGAGGCCAUUUGGAUACAUGGGCUGAUUAGAGAUUUGGGGGUUGAUCAGAAGCAGGUGGAGGUACAUUGUGAUAGUCAGAGUGCCAUUUAUUUGGCUAAGUAUCAAGUUCAUCAUGCGAGGACCAAGCACAUAGAUGUGCGUUAUCACUUUGUUCGUGAAAUUGUUGGUGAAGGGGAAAUCAUUCUCCAGAAGAUUCCAACUAAAGAUAACCCCGCUGAUAUGUUGACUAAGGUUGUUGGUGUAGCCAAGUUUGUUCACUGUUUGAACUUGGCUCACAUUAUGCCUAUAUAAAGAAGGCGUUGAACAGUAGGAGUUUUGGAGCAUUUGGCUCGGCAUGAGUUGUUCUCUUGCUAGUGUUUGGGAGUGAUUUUUUGUGUUGAUUGUGUUGGUUGGCUUAUCAUGGCGUUUUCGGAAUUUGGCCAAGGUGGAGAUUGUUGAAUUAUGGCCAAACACCUUUCGGCUAAUUAACAAACCAAAAGAAAAAAAAGGUGUAAGACAUCAUGAUGAGGAGACAUCAUGAUGAUGUUUUUUUUUCUUUUGUGGUUUUUUUUUAUUAACCAUAAUUAUUUGGUUUUCGGGUAGAAGAAAGGAGGAGAAGAAGAGAGAGCUCAUUUUUUUUGUCAGAAAUAGAGCUCAUGAGCUGCCGAGAUCAGGAGAGUUGCAGAGAGCCCAAACAGAAAAAAGAAGUUGCUGCUUCAUUUGGUUAGUAAUCAUUCACCAAAAUAGUUGUUGUUGUAAUAGCUUUGAGCUAUAUGUAUAGAGAAGAAAUUAUUCAUUAUAUUUCUUUCUCUAUUUGUUUAUGUGGUGUGUGAGAGCUAUUGGGUGUAUUGGGUUAUUUGGGUUGUGAGAUUGCCAACACUCUGUAAACUCCCAUUUGGUUGAUAGUGGAUUAUUGGGUGAGCUCCUACUGCUCCGAGGACGUACUCCAGUUACACUGACUGUUGAGGAACCUCAUUAAAAUCCUGGUGUCUUUAAUAUUUUGUUCUUGCAUUUUCAUUUGAUAAAUUUCCUGUGGGUUAGCUUGAGUUGGUUCCAACGAGUUUGGUGCUAUCCUAGCACAACAGUGUUGAUAGGUUUUCUUUAUGCCAGCCAGACCCAAGAAAGUUGGUUGGGGUGGACACAAGAGUUUUAUAUCUUCUUUUUGCUUGUAACAUAACUUGAAUUUCAAUAGGGAUCCCUAGGUAUGGGCUGAUAACUUUAGGGAUCAAUCCACUCGAAUUUGUUUCAAUAAUCUAGUCCAAUAUAUAACAAAGGAGGACAUCCGAAUAUGAAUUACCUUAGGAUUGAAAAAUAAAUGAAACAAAUUAAUUAUCCCUUAAGUAGUUAGUAAAUAAAUGAAAUAAAUAGGAGGGGAGGGGAGUGUCGCGAUACCCCAUGAUUUGCUUUGGCUCAUGUCGACAAGGAAACUGUUAGACUAGCAGCCCCAUUGUGUUUUUUGUUUGUUUAUUCGCACUAGACUGCCUUGCAAGAAGGAUAAAAGUGAGAACUAACCACAGACAGAGAAUUAUAUAUCAGGGGAAAGGGAAAGCCCUAGCUAACUACUCAACUAGGGUUUGGUCGAAAGAGAAUUACCCCAAACAAGUGUUGCCCAGCCUCCUCUUCUCUACCGCCUUCAAUGGUGCUCUCUCUCUCUCUCUCUCUCUCUCUCUCUCUCUCUCUCUCUCUCUCUCUCUCCCCCUCUCUUCUUCUCAGUAGCAGCUAAAGGUUAAGCUGCAGCUAAACGCAGAAAGCCACGAAGAACGAGGCUAGGAAAAAGGCGGGCUAUAAUUCGGGGUCUGGCGAAGUGACCCUACCCUUGAAGUAGGUAGGAGGAGAUUGUGUAACUUCUAUAAGGACUAGUCAAGGAGGUUGUCACUUCUAGCUAAGAUAUGUAAUAAGUGUUUUUACUUGUUCGUAUUGCAUUUUCAGAACAAUUUGUAAUGUUGACGUUAAGUGUAUAUUCGAUAGCCUCUAUGCCUCUAAUUAUUUACUUGUGUUUGGCUUUUGGCAAGAAGACUAUUUUUUAGUAUAGGUUUAGUAGCAUAAAUAGGUUAAGCGUUGGUAGGCUUAUAGCAAGCAGGCUUUUUUUUUUUUUUUUUGAGAAUAUGAUGAUGGGGUGUGUCGUGUGUGUGUAUUUAUCGACUUAUGUUCCCAACAGAGUGCCAGUUGGUGCUUAGUAGGACUCUGUUCAUGGUUUUCUCCAUCUCCUCCCCUCCUCGUCUAUGGUUUUGAUCCCCGCCCCUUCAGAUACAUUUUAAUGGUAUUACAAUGGCACCCAGUCGUACCAACCUUGUCCUUCCAUCUCUUCCGUAUGUCAUCAUCCCACGCUUUCAGUUUCAGUUUUGCCAAGUGCUUGAACAUCUUCCUCGUGUUGGAGUGUGAGAGAAGCUAUAGGGCGUUGGUUUCAUGUCUAAAUUGGCAGCCAGAACGGAUUUCAUUUCCAAGCAUGUAAAAUGUCCAACACAAAUACAUGAAAGUAAAUUUAACGAUGAUUUUUUUUAGAAUUUUUGUUGUGGCCUAUUUUAGUGACAAGGGAAUAAGGGGGUGCGACAAGGGGAGAAAGAGUGGAGAAAGUGUAGGAAUUUCUUUGUGUGAUCAAGUGAGUAUACUUUGGGAUUGUUCCCUUGAGUUUGACAUAAUUCUAAAGAGAACUAACAAUUUACAACUCAAAAAGUUUACGCAUAUAACGUCAUCUUCGGCAAAGACUUGGUGAAGAUGUCGGCCAGGUUGUCCUGGGAAUGGAUUUGCUUGACUUCAAUCUUCUGAUACUCUUGUUGCUGAUGUGAGGGGAAGAACUUUGGCGCAAUGUGCUUGGUGUUGUCUCCUUUGAUGUAUCCCUUCUUGAGUUGUUCAGUACAUGCUGCGUUAUCUUCAACGAUCUUUGUAGGGAUGUCAACGAUGGAAGAAAGUCUGCAGGUGCUUCUAAUGUGUUCCACAACUGCUCUCAGCCAGAAGCAUUCUUGAGUAGAUUCAUGUAGGGCGAGAAUCUCAGCAUGGUUCGAAGAAGGGACAACUAAGGUCUGCUUGGUUGACCUCCAAGAUGUUGCGGUGUCUCUAACGGUAAAGACGUAACCUGUUUAAGAACGUGCCUUGUAUGGAUCGGAUAAAUAACCUGCGUUAACAUAACUAACAAGGCGAGAAUCGACUCAAGAACUAAGGGGGCUGGGGCACCCUUCGAGGAUUCAUGGGAUAGAACAAACUGAAACUCGUCGUACCUUUAAGGUAGCGAAAGAUGUCUUUAACACCUGUCUAGUGUCUACAUGUGAGCGUAUUAUUGUAUCUUGCCAAAAGAUUGACAGCGAAAAAGAUCUUGGGUCUAGUGCACCGAGCUAAGAACAAUAAAGCGUCAAUUGCACUUAGAUAUCAAACUCAGGUUCCAAAAUAUCUUCUUCAUCCUCCUUAGGAUGGAAGAGAUCUCGUUUAGCAUCUAGCGAUCGAAUAACCAUAAGAGUACUCGAAGACUUCACUUUAUCCUCAUUAGAGCGACGCAACAUCUUCUAGGUGUAGUUCAACUGAUGUACUAGAAUUAUAUCCCAACUAUGCUCGAUCUCCAGGUCGAGACAUGUCACAGUAUCGAGUUUUCCAAAGAUCUUUCAUCUCAAAUUCUGACUUUAGGUGUGCAACAGUUUUCUUAAGCUUUUUAGAAGUCACAAUGAGAUUCAUGUUGUCGACAUAAAUUUCAAUGAUCACAAAUCGAGAAUGUGACUUCUUAAUAAACAUGCAAGGUCAUAGUUCAUUGUUCACAUACCCAUAACUUAUCAAAUACUUAUUCAGACGGUUACACCAAUUCUGCCGAGUGCUUCAAUUCGUAGAGUGAAUGCCUCAAUCGGAUGAAGAGAGUGUUCCGUGGUUUAGAACUAUUUGAUACAGUCAAUGUAAGUCCUUCAAGAAAUUUCAUAUAGAUUUUCAUAUCAAGAUCCCUAUAGAGAUACGGAGUUACCACAUCCAUAAGUUGCAUAUCCAAUUUUUCAAAAACCACCAAACUCAUAAGGUAGCGGAACGUAAUCACAUCCAUUACGGAAGAUGUUUCAUCAUUAUUAAUCCCAGGGCGUUGAGAGAAGCCUUGUGCUACAAGACGUGUUUUAUAUCUCACUAUUUCAUUUCUCUCAUUACGCUUCCUUACGAAAACCCACUUGUAGCCAACAUGUUUCACAUGUGGCAGUGUAGGAACUACGAGCCCAAACACCUUGCGUUUCGCAAGAGAAUCAAGUUUGACUUAGAUUGCAUAUUUCUAGUUUGACCAAUUGGUUCUACCUUGACAUUCAUCAACGGAACGAGGUUCAAUGUCAUUACUCAGAAUGAUCCAGUAGUUACUACAUAUGCUAAUGCAUCAUCUAUUAUUAUCUCAUUUCUAUUCCAAAUAUCAUCCAAAGCUAGCAUAAUGGACCAAAAUCUCUUGAUUCUCGGCAGGUGGAUUCAUCUCUUCCAAGACUUUUUCAUAGUCUAGAAUUUCCUCAUGCUUUGGAUAAAAUGAGUAGGCGAUGGUCGGAUUCACGAUAGGCUCACUAUGUGCCGUCGUUUUCCUCUUUUAGGGUUGUGAAUCCUUUGAACCAAAGGGUUUGCCACGUUUCUAGGUAGAAGCAGAUGAUUGGUUAGCCGCCAAUGUAUGGGGGUUGGCCACAUGGGUGUCCCGACCUUCUAGGAGGAAGGUCCAUCGUACAUUUGGUACAUCCAUCUUUGCAGGCAUGAUUGCAGCUGGUAUAUGUGAUCUUGUUAGUCUCGCUAUAUCAGUGAAAGCAUCUGGUAUGCUCCGAGUUACGAUCUGAAGACCAAGGAUAUGUUGCACUUCAGUCUCAGACAGGCAAUGCGAGGAUCUAAAUGAGACAAAGUGGGAGUCGUCCACGAUAAUUCACGUCAUUAUUUUAGAACGUUGACAUUCUUAUCACCCCUUAAUGACGGGAAAACUAUCUCUUAGAAGUGACAUUCCGCAAAACGAGCGGUAAGAUAUUGCUUGUCAAAGGUUCUAAGUAACGAAUAAAAGAAGGAGAAUCACAACCGACAUAGAUUCACAUCUUUAUUUCAAUACCCAUUUUAGUACGUAAGAGCGGCGUAAUCGGCACAUAGACAACACAAGAAAAAAAACGUGAAGAUGCGAUAUGUCAGGUUCGUAUCCGGUAACUAACUGAAAGACGUUAUAUGGUUAGGUUGCAAUGGGCCACAGAAGGACCAACAUGGUUGCGUGCAAUAUUGCACGGCCCCAAGCAGCGAUGGGGAGCUUGGUAUGUAUGAGCAAUGAUUAAGCAAUCAUUUGAAGAAGCUUAAUGAAAACUUUUGCAAGGUCAUUUUGGGUAUAAACAUAGGGUACUGAAUGUUCAACUUCAAUCCCAACUGACAUGCAAUAAUCAUCGAAAGUUUUCAAUGUGAAUUCUCCAACAUUAUUCAAUCCAAUAUAUUUAAUCGGAUAAUUAGAGUGGUGAGUCCUGAGCUUGAUAACCUGGGCCAACAAUUUGGAGAAAGCAGAGGUUCAUGUGGACAAAAAACACGUGUGGCUAACAUGUAGAAGAGUCAACCAAUACCAUAAAGUAUCUAAAUGGUAAGCAUGUUGGUUGAAUUGGUCCACAAAUAUUCCUCUAAAUCCUUCAUAGAAAAAUGGGAGGAUCCAAACAGAUCUUAUUAUAGGAAGGUUAAAUAAUGAGCUUACCUGUGGAGCAGGUUUGGCAUGUGAUGUCCUUCUGGAACUCCCCUAAUCUUCUGGUUGCCCAUGUGAAGAUUUGAGGAUACAACGCAUCAUAACUCGUCCAGGGUGUCCCCAAACAAUCAUGCCAAAGCAAAACUUCAUGUGCAAUCCCUGAGGUAGGGUCGGCCACAUUGUGGCUUUUUAUGGAGCGAAUGGUUGUAGUAUACAAGCCACUCGGGAAAUGCUCUAUCUACUAUAGAAUAUGCAUAUGGCCAUAUUCAUAAGAAGUGAUGCUCAGACAUUCAACUUCGUUUCUAUAGAGGUUCCAGCGUGAUAAUUAUUGUCACGAAUAUCUUUAAAGCUCAACAACGUUCUUUCGAAUUAUGGAAAAUAAAGUGCCUUUUUAAAGGUUAAUUCAGUCAUAUUGGACAAUAGCAUACAGGCCUGUCUGUAUCAUUCGAUCAAGUUGGAUGGACCUGAUAGGGUUGUCAGAGGUGCAUUCUUAGGUACAAAGUUAGUGAAAUAGGUGCGUUUACGCAAAACGUGUGUGUGGUUGCACUAUCUACCGUACAACUAACUUCCCUACUAAUCAUGCCUACAAAGAAAUUAAUUGAAUUGGUCUCAUGCAUAAAAGGUUCAAAAACAUAAUAAAACAUAAUAUCCAAAAUUAAAACAAACACUAACAAAUUAUCUAAACAUAAAGGAAAUUGUUCAAAACUUAAACAAACAAACAAAAAUAGGGUUCGGCCAACAUAAGGAAUUCACCCUAGGGGUUAAAAUGUGACUAGUAUAUGGGCCCAUGUCUAAGCAUCUAAUCUUCUAUCGGAACAUAUGCCUCCUGAAAGUAAAAAACCUUCAUCUUCUUAUCCUACGGUUCAUCCACUUGAGUAAAGUUUGAUUUAAACUUCUUACGAUGAGAAUGAUACUCGGCUAAGACCUUGGGAGGAGCUUAGCAAACACGGGACCAAUGGUCAUUCGAACCACAGCAGUAGCAUAUGUCUGCAUCCAUGGUGUUAGAUGCUUUGCCCUUAUUCUUGAAGUUCGAGGCCUUGGAAGCUAGGUUAGAAUGCUUCGGGGUUCAGUUUCCUUUCUUAGGUACGCCUUGGCUCUGUUGACCUUGGUAGGACGACUUCUGGCCGCGCCUACCAUGCCUAGAAUGGUGGUUCGGGCAUCGACUCUCGGUAUCGUGUGCUUCAGGCACAACGAUUGAGCUGGUAGGUCGAGCUUGAUGAUUCUUCAUUAACAGUUAAUUCUACUUUUCAGCAAAAGGUAAAACAAAGAUGAAAUCCAAAAACUUAGUGAACUUGUGAGCCCUAUAUUGUUGUUGUAGGACAAUAUUAGUCAUAGAGAAAGUCAAAUAGGUCUUCUCCAAGAGAUCUUCUUCGGUCAAGUCUUUGUCACAGAACUUGAGAAGUGAUCGGAUUUGACAAACUUCAUAAUUGUAUUCAUUCACGGACUUAGAGUCCUAAAGGGCAAAUGUUGUCAGUCGAAAUAAAUCAUGGUACUUCUUUUCAUUGAUCUUGGGUGUGCAGUUCAUUGAUUCCAGAGUUUCCACAUUUCAUUUAGCUUUUCAGCUAUCUAGUGUGUUAGAUGUGCAUUAUACAGGGUAAGAGCGUUUUGUUAAUGAGAUUUGUGGCAAUUGAAAUUUUCUCGAAUACCUAAUUUAUGCAAACUUUCUUAACAGGUAAUUGACGAUGUUGAUGAGAAUGAGACAAUAACUCCACUUUAUUUAUGAGUUUGAUACAAGUGAUGAUGAGGAAUCUGAGGAAGCCAUGGAAACCGAUCAAGAGAAUGAAGAGGAAGAGGAAUCCGAUAGCGCACUUGACUGUGUUAGUGAUUUUGAAGGAAUUGAGGACAUGAGUGAGUGAUGCAAAGUUUGAGAUUUAUUCUGGUUGUAUUCAGAGGUGGCUGAUAUUGCCGCUAACUUAUUACUAAUUGUACAAACCACAUGAGCACUCCAUAUGAAUGAAAUUUUGCUACAUGGUUGUCUAUCUUUCUAGUUUAAAAUCUCUGUUAAUGUAUUAUGAACAUGCAAUUUAGAAGGAAUAUAGAGAGAAGGGAGAGAUUGGUGAGGCUCGAAAUCCCAACUCGGGAAGGUGACGACUUUAACGAUUCUUGACAGAACCACUCCCUUGGUUCGGGGCUAUCCCGCCCUGCCUUUCGACUGAUAAUGAACACUAAGGGUGCCGAAGUGGUCCUGGUGUGGGAAUGCUAAGACCCUGCCUCGCAUAUGGGAAAGAGAUGGAAAGAUACGUGUUAUUCCUUGAUUUUAGCAAUCAUCGAGAUUUUGAUGAACCUUGAUUUUAGCAAUCAUCAAGAUUUUGAUGAACCUUUAUGUUCCAUGUGCACGAUCUGCGCAUGUUCUUUUUUAUAUUUUUAUGUUUAUAAAUCCAGAUAAGAAACUUGGUACAUCUCAAAUUAAAAAUUCCUACUUUUGUUCAAAUAUCAAAUUUAUUUCUCUCGUCCAAACGGAGGGUUAUAGUUUAGCCGCCCAACAGAAUGUUCCUUCCUUUAAUCGGCACAGAACAAAGCAUAUGAAAUCGCUAUCAGCAGUGGAACCCAUCUUCCAACUGUUGUGCUUGGAUAGCACCAAACCAAUUGGAACUAACUCAAUCUAACCCACAGGAAAUAUAUCAAAUGGAAUGCAAGAACAAAAUAUAAAAGACACCAAGAUUUUAACGAGGUUCCUCAGCAGUUAGUGUAACUGGAGUACGUCAUCGGAGCAGUAGAAUCUCAUCCAAUAGUCUACUAUCAACCAAAUGGGAGUUUACAAAGUGUUGGCAAUCUCACAACCUAAACCCCAAUACACCCAAAAGCUCUCACUCACCAAAGAAACAAAUAGAUAAGAAAAUGUAGUGAAUAAUUUCCUCUCUAUACAAAGCUCAAAUCUAAUACACAAAUACAACUUUGAUUGAGUGAGUACUAACAAAGAAAGAAAAUCACCUUUCUUUCUUCUCUUCAAAAUAGGGGCUGCGACACCUCUCUUUUCUUUUUUGCUCUCUGUUUUCUGCUCAGCAGCUGCCCUAAUUAAAAACCUAGCCACUCUCGUGGCUUUCCACAUGGGCCAAAUAAAAAGGCCCUUUAAAUGGGCUAUUGGGCUUACAUAUAAAGGCCCCUAGAAUUUGGCCAUAUAUUCAACAAUCUCCACCUUGGUCAAAUUCUCGAAAGUGCCAUGACGAGCCAAACCAACAUAAUCAACAAUCAACACAAAACCAUUCCUGAAAAUAGCAAGAGAACAACUCAUGCUGAGCCAAAAUGCUCCAAAGCUCCUACUGCUCAACGCCUUCCUUAUAUAGGCAAAAUGUGAGCCAAGUUCAAGCAAUGAACAAACUUGGCUACACCAACAACCUUAGUCAACAUAUUAGCGGGGUUGUCUUUAAGUUGGAAUCUUUUGAAGAAUGAUAUCCCUUUCACCAACAACUUCACGAACAAAGUGAUAACACACAUCUAUGUGCUUGGUCCUUGCAUGAUGAACUUGAUACUUAGCCAAAUAAAUGGCACUCUGACUAUCACAAUGCAACUCCACCUGCUUCUGAUCAACCCCCAAAUCUUUAAUAAGUCCAUGUAUCCAAAUGGCCUCCUUUAUAGCUUUGGCAAUAGCCAUAUAUUCAGCUUCUGUAGUGGACAAGGUAACAGAAGAUUGGAAAAUGGACCUCUAACAAACUAGCCCUUUAGCCAUAGUAAACACAUAGCCUGUAGUAGACUUCCUUUUAUCCAAAUCACCUGCAUAAUCUGAAUUAACAUAACCAACUACAAAGUGACCAAUACCAGAGUCAUCCCUCUCAAAGCAUAAACCAAUAUCUCGAGUACCAUGGAGAUACCUCAAUAUCCACUUAGUUGUAUGCCAAUGCUCUUUACCAGGAUUAUGCAUAUAUCGACUCACCAUACCAACUGCAUGAGCAAUAUCUGGUCUAGAGCAUACCAUUGCGUACAUCAAACUACCAACCAAAUUUGCAUAUGGUAUAUUUUUCAUUUGCAGUUUUUCUUUAUCAGUUUUAGGACAUUGUAGAGAACUCAAUUUAAAAUGAGGAGCCAAAAGGGUACUAACCGGUUUGGUUGAACUCCAAACUUCCGAAUCAAUUUCUCAAGGUAUUGUCUUUGAUUCAAGCAUACCAAACUUUUCUCUCUAUCUCUAAUGAUCUCUAUACCAAGGAUCUUCUUCGCUUCACCAAGAUCCUUCAUCUCGAACUCGUUCUUCAUUUGCUUCUUCAAUUUUUCAAUCUCUUCGACAUUCUUUGAGGCAAUCAACAUAUAUCAACAAAUAAACGAAAGACCUAUCUUGCAACUUCUUGAAGUACACACAAUGAUCAUAUUGACUUCUAGAAUAAUUUUGGCCUCUCAUAAAUUUAUCAAACCUCAAAUACCAUUGUCUUGGAGAUUGCUUCAAGCCAUAAGGUGAUUUCUUCAACUUGCAAAACAAAUUCUCUUUCCCUUUCACUUUAUACCCAUCCGGUUGACACAUAUAGAUCUCUUCAUUCAAAUCACCAUGUAGGAAAGCCGUCUUCACAUCGAGUUGCACAAGCUCAAGAUCAUAUUGUGCAACAAGAGCUAACAUAAUGCGUUGACGAGUGUUUCACAACCGGAGAAAAGAUUUCAUUGUAGUCAAUGCCCUCCUUUUGUGCAUACCCUUUAGCGACUAAUCUUCCUUUGAAUUUCACAUUGCUUUUCUCAUCAACACCUUCCUUCUUGGCAUACACCCAUUUGCAACCGAUAGCUUUCUUACCCUUAGGCAAUUUAGCUAACUCCCAAGUCUUGUUCUUCAAGAGAGAAUUCAUCUCAUCACCCCAUGGUAUUGCAUCAUUUCUCCUUUUCUUCACUCUCAAUAGCUUCCUCAAAAUUGGAUGGAAUCUCAUCAGUGAUAAUAGGAAGAGAAAAAGAAACAUAAUCACUAUACCGAGCUGGCUUGGUAAUAUUUCUCUUUCCUCUGUUCUUGGCAAUAGAAUCGUGAGGUGAAACUUGCUCUUCAUCUUGAAAAGAGUCUUCAACUUCAACUUCUUCAACAUCCUCUUGGUCUCCCACUUCUUCAUUUGUAGUGGCUUCAACAUCAGUGGAAAUAGGAUUUUAAGUACUACAAGCAAUUUUCUUAAAGUCUUUGAACAUCAGUGGCUUCAACACCAAUGGCUUCAACACUUGUUGGACAUCUUUCACAUUCUUCUCAGAUUCUUUGAACCUACUUUCUUCAUCAAAUGUCACAUCUCUAUUGAUUACAAGUUUCUUCAUCUCUGAGCACCACAACCUGUAACCUUUAACACCACUACUAAAACCAAGAAAGAUAGCUUUUUUGGCUCUAGGAUCAAGUUUAUUUUUAGUUACAUGAAAAUAAGCAGGUGAACCAAAAAUACGAAUAGAAUCAUAAUCAGUAGAAGGUUUUCCAGUCCAUACCUCAUUGGUGUCUUACCUUGAACAGCAGCUGAGGGUAACCUGUUGAUGAUGUGACAUGCAUAAUUAACUGCUUCUGCCCAAAAUGACUUGCUUAAACCCGACUGAGACAACAUACAUCUAACCUUCUCAAGCAAGGUUCGAUUCAAUCUUUCUGCAACUCCAUUUUGUUGUGGAGUUCCCCGGACACUGAAAUGUCUCACAAUCCCUUCCUCUUUGCAAGGGUCAGAUGUGUAUUCACCAUCAUUAUCCGAUCUCAAAAUCUUAAUCUUUCUCCCAGUAUGGUUCUCAACCAUUUUCUUCCAACUCAAGAAAAUGCUCAACACCUCAUUCUUGUGCUUCAUAGUGUAGACCCAAGACCUUCUAGAAUAAUCAUCAACAAAGGUCACAAACCAAUGUCUACCACUCAAAGAGGGAGUCUAUGUAGGACCCCAAACAUCCAAAUUUACAUAAUCAAGAAUGUCUUUCGUCUGAUGUAUUGUAGUACCAAAUUUCACUCUAGUUUGCUUCCCCAAGGUAAAAUGCUCGCAGAAAUCAAGCUUACAAGUCGUGGCACCUUUUAGAAGACCUUGUUUCACAAGCCCUUGUAAAGCUCUCUCACCGACAUGGCCUAAUCUCAUAUGCCACAAUCUAGUAGUAUCUGAAUAAGAUGUGCCCAUAUUUCUGAGACUACAGAAGCUUCACCUGUCACGGUGCUUCCUUGUAAUAGAUACAAAUGAUCACAUCGAGGAGCUUUCAUCACAACAAGUGCACCAUAAGUAACUUUCAAUGUCUACCCAUCUGAAUGAAACCUGAAGCCCUUAGAUUCUAAAGUGCCCAAAGAAAUAAGAUUUUUCUUCAAAUUCGGUACAUAUCGAACACCUGUCAACUCUUUAACCAUGCUAUCAUGCAACUUCAAACGAACUGUAUCAACCCUUUUUGUUGUGCAAGGAUUGUCAUCUCCCAUGAAAACAACACCACCAUCAAACUCUUUCAAGCUUGAAAACCAAUCCUUGUGAGGAGUCAUAUGAUGAGUACAACACGUAUCCAAUACCCACUUAGUAGCACAAUAAAAUGAUGAGGAAACGGUUAAAGCAAAAUCAGAAAAAUCAUUUUCAAGCUCACUUUGCCUUUGGUCUCCAACCUAGGACAAUCUUUCUUCCAAUGACCUUUAUUAUGACAAAAAACACAUUCAUCCCUUUCCAAACUUUUUCUACCUUUAGAAUUUCCUCUAGGUCGAGACUGUGAUUUUUUCUUACUAGAGAAGGAUCUCAUUUCCGAUAAUCUACCUCUAACAAAUAAGGCUUCAGAGGUACUAUCAUAAUUUUUAUCUCUAUGCCUUAUUUCAUAAUUCAUCAAGGCAUUCGACACAUCUUCAAAUUUCACAGUUUCUUUCCCAUGCAUAAUAGUGUUAACAAAAUGCUCAUAAGAGUCCGGCAAAGAAUUCAACAAUAUUAAAGCCUUUUCUUCAUCCUUAAUAUCCUCAUCUAAAUUCAUCAAAUCGGCAAUCAAUUUAUUAAAAGCAUCAAGGUGUCUAAUCAUUUUUGUACCUUCUUUAUAUUGGAAGCAGUAGAGCUUUUUCUUCAAGUGUAGCCGGUUCUCUGCACUCUUCGUCAUGUAUUUGUCUUCUAAUUUUUGCCACAACAUAUUUGCCAAUGUCUCCCAUAUCACAAAAUAUUUCUGAGUUUUUGCAAGGCACAACCAAAUUGUGGAGCAAGCCCACAAAUUUAAUUUUUCUCAUUCCGACUUCGACAUAGCUUCCAGCUUAUCUCCCAAAGUGGCAAGUAGAUCUUGUUGAGCCAACAUAUCCUUGACCUCAUAUUGCCACAUCCCGAAGUUGUUUGUGCCAUCAAAUUUUUCCACUUCAAACUUCGCAUUUUGCACUGUAGUUCUUGCAAACCUGGAGCUGUUUCCAAAAGGAUUCUCAUCUUGUCCGUCUGACAUCUUUAGCAACUAAAUGGUAUCCAAGAGCAACUAGUGCUCUGAUACCAAUUGUUGUGCUAGGAUAGCACCAAACCAAUUGGAACCAACUUAAUCUAAUCCACAGGAAAUAUAUCAAAUGGAAUGCAAGAACAAAAUAAAAAAGACACCAAGAUUUUAACGAGAUUCCUCAACAGUCAGUGUAACUGGAGUACGUCCUCGGAGCAGUAGGAGCUCACCCAAUAGUCCACUAUCAACCAAAUGGGUGUUUACAAAUUGUUGGCAAUCUCACAACCCAAACCCUAAUACACCCAAAAGCUCUCACUCACCAAAGAAACAAAUAGAUAAGGAAAUAUAGUGAAUAAUUUCCUCUCUAUACAAAGCUCAAAGCUAAUAUACAAAUACAACUUUGAUUGAGUGAGUACUAACAAAGAAAGAAAAUCAUCUUUCUUUCUUCUCUUCAAAAUGGGGGCUGCAUCACCUCUCAUUUCUUUUCUGCUCAGAAACAAAAGGGCAGCAGCUGCCCUAAUUAAAAACCUAGCCACUCCCGUGGCUUUCCACAUGGGCCAAUGGGCCAAAUAAAAAGGCCCUUUAAAUGGACUGUUGGGCUUACAUAUAAAGACCCCUAGAAUUUGGCCAUAUAUUCAACACCAACCAUGCAUUGAAUUGAGCACCUUGGGGCAUCUGGGGUAUAGAGAGGUUUACCCGAAAGUCGCCUUGCACGGUUGGAAGAUUGUUGGUUGGACGUCAAUGUGUGCUUUUGUUCUUGACGUUGCAAUGCAGGGAAAGCGAACAUUUAACGUAACCUAAUUCUAAUUCGUUUUCUCGUCCACUCUCACCACUUGGGCUAAAGAACUAUCAAACGUUCGUCGCCUGCUUCAAAAGUUGUCGAAGCAAAAUUCAAACUUGGAAAGUUGGCUGCUUAACAACUGCCGAAUGAAAAACUCGGAAUGGUGGCUCCAUAUCAUGAGAUGCAAGUCAAUGCACGAUUUCGGUAGAAGAAGAUUACGACAUAUGUUAGUGCUAUAUUCACGUGGGGGUCCAAAGGCUGCGUUGGUAGUAGUGUGCAGAAAGGGCAGGACUCCGAAUCUCUGAGGCCCUCAAAAUUUUUAUCUUCCUAUAUAUUACUAAAUUUUCUAAUAAAAAUAUUUUGGACUAAAACAAAAAUCAUUAUCAUAUGAUUUUAUCCAUAUUACAAUUGAGUAAGUGGAGUCUACAACUAAUAUAUUUAUUUCAUUUUUCUGUAGCAAUGCUAAAAACUUAUGUAUUGUCUUAUUUUCUCUAGCAAUAAAAAACUAACUUGUAUAUUACUUUUUGUAUUAUCUCUCUUUCAUUCGUGCUCCAUUUGUUCAUGGAUAAACCCUAAAUCAUAAUUUCAUGGCAAUUGGAGAUUAUUCAAUUAGUAAGAGUGAGAUGUUGAUUUCAAUUAAGUUUGAAUAUUGAUUGUUGAGGUUUGUAUGAAUAUAUUGUUCAAAAGAUUAUUAUUUUUUAAAUAAGGAUGAUCUUUUAUUAAAUUCGCACAGGGGCCUAAAAGAGUAAAUUGUAGCUAUGGUCCCUUAACUUUAACUCAAUUGGAGCAAUGGUCCCUCAACUAAAAAUCCAUUACCAUUGGUCCCUCAACUCAUCAAAACGUGCAGUUAUGGUCCCUCAACUAAAAAUUCAUUACCAUUGGUUUCUCAACUUUAAUUCAACUGGAGAAAUAGUCACUUAACUUUAACCCAAUUGUAGUAAUGGUCCUUUCAACAUAACUCGUUUUGACAAAAAAUUUGACGUAGUUAACGAAAUGACCAUAAUUACACACUUUGAUGAGUUGAGGGAUCCUAAUUAUAUAAGUACCCUUAUCUAUGAAUUUAUGUACAUCAGUUUAAAUUUAUGUACCCUUGUGCCACAUGCUCUGAAUGUCUAUGAAUUUCAACACAUUCAAAAUAUAUCUGUUCAAAGUAUUAUCCCAAUCGGAAAACGGAAGCUACGCAUAAGAGUUUAACUAAUCUUGAAACUUUUCGCUGUUAUUAAAUUGAUUUUGGGCUGAAUACUCUCCAAUUCUAACGAUAUAGCAAAUUGAACCGAUUGGUCAAGCUCAAAAAGCAAAAAGGGAAUAAGAAAAGAAGGAAGGUAUGAUUGAAACAUAACACACGAAGCACAAUGUAUGGACAUAAACAGACAGGGACGAAGCCAGAACUUUGUGUGAAUGGGGGCAUCCUCAAACAACAAAGUCAUAAUUAAAAAGCUCAAGAAUUUACUAAACACAAUACUUAUAUAUUAAUCCAAAAAGUUUUUCAUACAACAGUCCCUUACAAUAUGCCUCGACGCGUUUUCAUGUUCUGAAAGCGUUGCAUGACAACAUCAUUACCAAUACCAUCAAAUAUCUCUCUCUCUAUAAAAAUAACCAUGUUAUCAUUCAUCCAUUGAUCUCCCAUUCGAUUUCUCAAUCGAUUCUUCAGAAUUUUCAUGGCCGAAAAUGCUCUUUCAACGGUUGCAGUAGCAACUGGAAGAGUUAGUGCUAAUGUCACAAGCAAGUAAACCAGCGAAUACACCUUGUGUUUUUUGCAUUGAACCAUUUUUUUUGCAAGAUCUCCAAUCUCUUUUAAACCUGAAAACUCAAUGCUAGACCGCAUAUCCAUAAUGUAAGUCUCAAGUUGAAUCUUAAGUAUCACCAGCUCAUUCAUAGAGAAGUCUUUAGGAUAAAACUGGGCAAGACGCAAUAGCUUUUGGCUAUCAAAAGCAGAGAAAGAGUCGGUUGGACAUAAACAUGCCAAACAAAGAAGUAACUCAGUGUUGGUCUCAUUGAAACGAUUAUUUAGUUCUUGAAGCUGCCAAUCCAAAACAACAUAAAAUAUCCCAACACAAUAAUGAUGCAUAUUUGUGACUGCUUGUGCUUUUCGUUGCCCUCGCCUUCGAGAAAGAAACAUAUCAUCCAUAUUAGGCACAUCAAUAUCAUGUUUAAGACAAAAUUCUGAGACUUCACUAAGUAAAGAAUCCCAACCACUUUUCCUCAUUAUCUCCAACCUUUGCUUACAAACUCCAACCAACUUCAUUGCAUUUACAAUAUCCUGAUCCUUCCUUUGCAAUGCUUGUGACAAUUCAUUGGUUAUUCCUAGUAUAUCUUUCAUCAAGUGUAGAUUAAACACAAAAUUAAAUGAUUGCAUGGAAUCCAAUAAAUUAUUCACUUCACAUCUUUGUUGAGAGCUUACUCCAUCAUCUGCUAUUACUUCAAGUACAUCAAGUAUGGAUGAAAACAUAGUCAUGAUACUUACUAAAGUACCAAAGUGUGAACCCCAAUGUGUUUCUCCAGCACGUUUCAAAGUAGUUUCUUGAUUUUUGCCUUUCCCACUUGUAAACUCACCACUGUUAAGUGCUUCAAUAACUGCAAUAGAUUGCUUCUCUCGAAGAAGAUCACAACGCUUCGAUGAAGCUCCAACAACAUUUACCAAAAUAGUAACUAUACUAAAAAGAGACUCAAUUUGGAUGUUCUUCUUUGCCACAGCUACAAGAGCUAAUUGACGUUGAUGUGCAAAGCAAUGAAUAUAAUAGGCACAACCACUGUCUUUCAUAAUAAGAGCUUUAAUACCAUUGAACUCACCUUGCAUAUUGCUGGCCCCAUCGUAACCUUGCCCACGCAACCUAGACAUGCUCAAUUUAUGCCUAGAAAAUACCUCAUCAAUGGUUUCCUUGAGUGAAAGAGCAGCAGUACUAGUAACAUGCUCAAUGCCAAUAAAACGCUCAACGACAUGCCCAUUCUUGUCCACAUAGCGCAAUACAAUAGCCAUUUGUUCCUUCGUUGAUACGUCGCGAGAUUCAUCAAUCAAAAUAGAGAACAGCGAAGUGCCAAUGUCUUUAAUAAUAGUCUUGAUGGUCUCAGUUGCACAAGCAUUUACAAUGUCUUUUUGAAUAUCUGGUGAUGUCAAUUUGUGAUUCUCCGGAGCAUUUUUCAAAGUAACGGCUUUCACAUCCUCAUUGUGGUCGGCAAGAAACUGUAGAAGCUCAAGAAAGUUUCCAUGGUUGAUUGAAUGUUCAGAUUCAUUAUUACCACGAAAUGCAAGCCCUUGUCUCAAAAGAAAUCGACAACAAUCAAUUGAUGCAUUCAACCGAGCUCUAUAUUGAAUUCGAGCUUCAUCAUGAGUUUUAGAGAAAAAAGAUUAGAUAUGUUGCUUUUGACUCCUUAAAGCUUCAAAAUUACUCCAUGCUUGAUUGUGUGCACUAUUGACGCCUCCAAUAUGAGUUAGAAGUCUUUCUUUCUUCUUCCAGUUAGAAAAUCCUUCUCCAACAAAGAAAUCACCACCUGCUUGUUCUCCAAUGUUUGGUUUAAAAAGGUAGCAACACAGACAAAAGGCAGCAUCUUUUUCUACACUAUAUUCCAACCAAGUAGGAAAAUCAUCAAACCAAGCAGGGUUGAAUCGUCUUUGCGUGUCUCCAUAUUUCUUGUAAGGAAAAUUAUGGGUUUUAGGUUGUUGAGGACCAGCUAGCACAUACGCUCUUCGUACUUGAUCGAAUAUUAGGAUUGUAAUCCAAAAUUCGAAUUCGCUUACCAGGAUCUGAUGGAAGAUUUGAUAAAAUAAAUUAUGUACUAUCUUGUCCCCAAGUAUCAUCAUUUUUCUCAAUAACUGGGGAUGGCGGCACUGAUAUUUUUUUGAAAAACCUCUCCAUGAUGUUUUAGUCUGCAAAGUCAAUCAUAUUGAUACCAAUAACAUAUAAGGUUCAUACAUAAUUUGUAGAAUUUAUAGAAUAAAAAUCUCAAUAAAAUUCUUAGACUCUUAAUCCUAGAGUAUACCACAUAACUAAUCCAUAUCCAACCUAGGCAACAAUUCAAUUAACCAAUAUGGCAAUACCAAUAAGCAUACAAAUUCUUCAACAAAUAAACAUUUAAUUCAACUAAUCAUAUGAAUAAAUGUAUACCCAUAUUCAUAGAAUUCGUAAUUUCAUAAUUUCAUUCAUCAAUAAUCAUAGAAUUCAUAUCAAUAAUCAAUAACCAAUUACCAUAUGAUUCUAUAUUUCUAUACCAAUUAAACAAAAAUUUGUCUUAAAUAAUUAAUUAGGGUUAGGGAUUAUAGAUUUAGGAAUUAAGAAUUUUACCAUAAAUAUAUAUAUGUCGGCUAGAGAGUAGCUGGCUGCAGUGGCUGACUGUUGGCGUGGCUGGGAAUAGCACCUUGCUCCUCCUGUUCCGUUCAGUUUCAAGAUGUUGGGAAUUUGGGGAAAGAGAGCAGCACCACGCUGCUCUCUAUUUGGGAAGGGAAAUAAAAAGGAACAGAGAGAUGGGAAGGAAUCAGGGAAUGGGUUAGGGAUUAAAGGGGGGACCUCUUGUCCCCACGCCACAGUCCACCUUUAACAUACUUUUUUUUUUUUUGUUAACAUAUACGAAACGACGCCGUUUCGUUUAUUUUUUUUUGUACCAGGACCAAAACGACGUCGUUUUGGCCUAGAUUUUAAAAAAAAAUAUAUAAGACCCAGCUCUGCUUCUGCAGAACCAGGUCGGAGAGCAGAACUAGAUCAGUUCAGUGGGGGCUCUGCUGCUGCAAACCCAGCUCAAUUUGAGCAGCAUCCCAGCGUCAGAAAAAUCUCAGUGGGGGCAUCCGCCCCCCUAGGCCCAUGGUAGCUCCGUCCCUGUAAACAGAACAAGGUAUGGAUAGAUAUUGGGCAGAUUUUAGACCUCAAAGUAUAAGUGGUUAAGUUGGAGAAGCCAUAUUUUAGUGUUAAUGCGAAAGCAAGUUGAGUAACAGAUCAAAAUUUGGUUGGGAGGAUGUGAUUAUUCUGUUUUGUCAAAUAAUUAAUUCUGAAAGGUCGAGUUAUUUCAACAUUACUGAAAGGAACAAAUAAAGAUUUCAUAACUUCAGCUCACCAAAAAAUAUUGAUCGAAAAUGUGGAAACUUGUCUUGGAUAGGACAAGUCUUUUGGCUCGAGAGAAACUUACCUAUAAUCAAAUAAAAGCCCUUGGUUUAGACGUCACAUGGUGAAGGCUGUUGGGCCAAAACACAGUCGUCGGGUAUGAUCAUACAAUAAAAACUCUCAUGAUUGAUAUGUGUCAAACUCUCAUGAUUGAUAUGUGUCGCAUAUCCUUUUUUCUCUAUCUCUCUCAUCAAAUGACUAUUGACAUAUAAGGUCUGGUAUGAUUUUUAACAACUUUUCUGCCAAAUUUCUCAGUGAACUCAAAUUCCCAAAAGCAAAUUUGAUAUCAACAAGAUUGCAACAAGUAAUGACAAAGAAAAUAGAGAUUUCAAAUUGUAAAUUUUAUUAGGUAAAAUAGGUAUAGUCACACAAACUAAUUAACCAGCAAUGCAAUCAAACUUAUGGACACAGAUGAAGUUGAAUGGACUGGAAUGCAGCACUCAAGCCGAAACAAAAAUUCUAACAGAUAGGAAGAGGUGCGCCGUUCCAACCCUCGAGGCAACCUAGAAUCGGGUCGAUAAUCUUUCCCUGGCAGAUAGCUUGGAACACCUUGUCACACUCCUCGCCCGGUGACCUGACCUUCUCCCCGGUCAGGUACUCUCCUCCCAACUCCUCCCUCACAAAUUUGUACAAGGGAUAAGACCUGCAUUCCGCAAUCCUGUUUGGAACUGCAGCGUUUCCGCUCUCA